UUGGGAUAUAUAAGCUUAUUCUUCCAACUGGAUUGAGUCAUAGUGCAACGUUACUUCUUGCUGGAUCUGGAUCGCAAUAUCAAGUUGCUUUCCUGCAGCACCUACAUGGCCACAUUUGCACUAACUUUGUUCACUGCUUGGUUUGACUGAGCUGUUCAAGAAAAAGGAAAGAUGAAUGCGUUUAAAAUCUACGAGUUGCCUUAGUAAGAAAGUUCCUCCUUCUCGCUAUAGAAAUGAUCUUUAAGACAACCUAUCCGUUUCGGUUUUGAAGAAGACAGGAAUGAGUCAGUGCCAGGUGUCCCCGGUCGUGAUACACUAACCAACCAACUUAACCUAUAGCGCUCAAUCAAAUGAAGUUUUGAUUUCCCAUAUGGAUAAAAAGCUACCUUCAAUCCAUAGUGCCAUCUUUCUCUUAAAAUGACAUUAGUUAUGCUUUCUUCAAGAUCGAGAUCAUCUAAGACCUACGUCUGAUCCCGUCCAAUAGCAGGUUUAGUGAGCACCACAAACCAAUCCACCUACUUUGAUAGCAUAAAAUCGUUCGGGGAUUUUAAUGUAAAAACACCUGCGCAGAGCUUGGAGAGCAGAGCACUCAGGUGCGAUGGGUUGAUUGAUUCCAUAGUAGGUUUCUGAGUUCAUCAGGUGUGCUCGUGCCUGAAAUGCUUUUCACAAGAAGCUAGUCAGAAAAAGGGGCACGCAGCUAUGCGAUUCUAACUGCUCUUGGUUUUGUAACUCACUGCUCUUGGUUUUCUACGUGGGAGUUGGUCCGGAUAACAUAUCUUAACGAGGGAUAUAAAAGGGCGAAGGUCAAUGAAAUGGGGUCCUUAUAGGUAUCUGCCCAUGUUCAAUCACUGAAGUAAUGAAUCUAAACAAGAAAACGAAGUAGAAGUGAAAAGCUUUUCUAAUAUAUUUUUAUAUCUCUUUGCUCAGUUUUCCCCUUUAAUGUCCCUCUCCAUUAUUAUUCAUAGUAAUGUGCUCCUCGCUGAGCUUUAUGAUUUCCAUUGUCAUUCUUCCCUCUCCUCUCUGAUUGCUUUUCAUCGUCUCUUUGCGUUUACCCUAUUUUCAUGACUCUCCUCUCUUUCUUCUCCCCGUACCAUUAUUUUGAUCGUUUCUGAAUCUUGAGAUUGCUUCAAUGCAUGUGAUCCCUCUCCUCAGCCUUCCCCUCCUAAAUCUUAGAAUCCUAAUGCCGUAGGUGCUAUGUCGGAAAUCCAUUUUUUUUAUCCUCUGCCCCAAGGAAAAUCAAAGAAGAAGAAAGCCCUGGUAUUCUCUACUUGAAUUCAGGAAGAUUCAGAUACCGAAAGCAAUAGGAAUGGGAAAGCGGAGCGGGCAAUAGGUUUAUGACUGAGCACUAGAGCCUGGAAUAGCAGGAGGUUGGGAAAUAUGCCAUGCAGAAUUCCAAUAAGUUGGCACUGCUUUCCCUUUCCAUAUGAAAAACGGAGAGGAAAAGCAUGGGUGGACCAAGCGUUUUAACCGGAAUCUAGUGACGGAGAAAGAAGAAAGAUUUUUAAGCGCUAGAUAGGGUCACAAUUCAAUAAAGAUACUUGGCUGGAUGGCGAAGCUGUGUUUGCUCUCCCAAAUCGAGAUCAAAGUCUUGCUUGACAGCGUGAGGAACUUUGAAUGCUCCGUACAAAGGGUCAUAGGGAGCUUUUGGAGGUCAGGGAGAAGUGUGUGUGGCCACUGUGCGCAAGCAUUCUGUACAGCGAUCUUGCUGAGGAGGUCCCCGGUCCCACCUCCAUAAAGAAGAUCUGGUGACUGCCCAUUGUCUUGUUUUGGCUUGGAAGUCUCCUCAAAAUAAGGCAAGUGAGUCAACAAUCUCUGUAAGAGGAAUUGGAAGAUGGGGGUUCCAUGGCGCACUGAGAUGAAAGGCUGUCUUGGACGUGCGGCCCCUUAUCCCUAUCCCUUUGUUGAUGAAUCCCAUGCAACGCGCCCUUGCUUGGAUGAAAAAAUGUCAUAAGGGGGACUCGUUUCACUUGAUUCGUUCCGUCGCACCCGCACUAUUCCUAAAUUUAUUUUCUGUUUCUAUUUUGAAAAAAAGGUCGAACUCAUUUCGUAUAGAAAGAAAGAUGUGUCGGGUUUGGAUCGAGUGACACAGGAGGUGCUUCUGCGUGGCACUCUUUUUAAUGGGCUUUACCGUCUUUCUUUACCUUCAGAACACAAAGCUUUGCUUGGCGAAAUAACUCCUGCCUAUAUUUGGCAUCUCAUCUACUUAAUUUAAUGACAUUCCAUAUCUCAGGAAGGAAAAAAAGCGAAUGGAAUUUCACUCAAGUCUUUUUUUCUGCUUUAUCCUUCUCUCAAUCAAAGAAAGGGAAUGCAGAUGUUCUGUCGCCCUCUCUUCAUAUGCCACCAGCCUUCCUCUCAAAACCAUACUGAUCCGAUCUUGUGCAGAUAGGUAGGGACGAUCCCUCCAGUAACCAUGCCUAAAAUCAUAAGCUGACCCAUUACUUCUGUAGGUGCCUCAAUUCUUCCCAUUUUCCUACUUAUAUAACUCUUUGGGGUCCAUACCGCACUUGGGGACGGGAUAUGAUUGCUUUCUUAAACAAACCUUUUAGAGCGUUGUCAUCUUACCAGCACAGGACUCAAUAGUAAGGACUGUCACUGCAUUGAUAUCGCUCAUGGAUCGUGUUAUACUUGGGAAGAUCCGGCCCAAGGGGAAGUCUGUUAUCCACAACCCAACCUUAGAUGAGGGAGAAGUUCACGCUUGAUCUUCGACCCAAGACAAUGGAAGGGAGCUAAAGCCUUCUUCCUUUUUCAAAUUCGUUUAUAUGGAGAAAAAAGAGGUCGUGGCAUACCAUUUAUUCCGCCAAGAAGCAUUCGUCUACGGCACUUAGAACGCCUCGACACAUUUGUACUCACGCCUAGGACGGUCUUUCACACGGAAGUAAGAUUAGAGAGUUUGAUCAUAGUUUGACCGUAGUAAAAAAGAAGUCCCUUUCUCAUUUGCUUCCUGGUCAUCUCUAUAGAGAUAGAAGAAAGAAGUCCCAAGCAAGGGUCAUGCUAUUUCUAUUCUUUUCACUAUUGUUAUUCCCUAUUUCCUUAACUGAUCUUGAGUUGUACCGAAACAACAGAAAUAUGGUCUCUCAUAAAUUGAUUUCUUUCAUCACUGUUCUUAAAUCAAUCCGUGUCAGGUACAGAGCCAAUCUUCACAUCCCAUAGGUAAAACAAGUCGCUUUAUGGGCUCCUCGUGAAACUACAACCUUUCUGAAGCCCUAGUCAAAAAGUUGUGCGAAACCUCAAUUGGUAAGAGGAGUAAACACCUAUUCUUUGGCCAUUCAAAACAUCGAAUUGGUUGGCUCGCUCAACCUCUCGAACCGGGACAAAACUUCCCAGCGUUGCAUUCACCGCCUAGCCUCGUCCAACAUGACUGUAAGGCACGUUUUGCAUGCCUUUAAAGUGUACCCCCUCGGAGGUAUCAAAAAGUGCGAGAAACCGCAUUGAUGACUAAUAAAGUAGGGUUUUCACUCGUGUGGGUUCGCCCACCUUCCCUUCAGCAGCUCUCCCUGGACACCCUAUACUAAACUGAGGAAUUACUUAAGCUCCUGGCUUUUUUUCCGACAACUCAAAGCCGCUGCACCGACAGAUAACAUGCCGUGGAUCUUAUGUGGCGCUAAAACUUCAUGAUAGAUCAAAUCCUGAUUACGACUGGAGAGGGACGUUGAUGUUCCAAACAUUGGGUUCAAGAGCUCGGUUUGAUAGACAUAAACCUCAGUGAUCGGCUUUACACCAGGAAGGAGCAAUGAGAUAAACUCACCCCCCAUGGCGAGACUAGACAGAUUCAUGGCCUCCUGCUUGAACAUUGUCCCAAAAACAACGGUCACACCCUUGCCAAACACCUCCUCAGCUGACGAUAAUAUAUCGGACAUUGGACUGCAGGGCCUUAGUUGGCCAAGUAUGUUUUGUAUAUAAGGAUCCAUGGUCUUAUCAAACUCCAAUUACCAAAUGGUACAUACAGGAGUUGUUGCAUAAAAGGAAGUACCAUUGCCACCAGUGAUCUUUAAAAGUGAUAAACUAAACUCAUCACAUUAGGAGAAUCCUCUAAACUUAAUAUAAUAGGCUCACUUUAUCACUAUAAACUUUUUAGUGAUGACCAAAUAACGAAAACACUUCGUUGAAUGACGUGUUGUUAAAGAAAAUAGCUGCGUCGCCCCCCUUCAAGACAGGAAACUAUAGACAGGUACCUGAGGUGCCCUGCUGAGAGAAGAAUUUGUCAACAAUCAAGCACUUGAGCUUGCAAGAAUAAAUAUAUGAUGUCUAUGCUAUUAUUGGGAUAAAAUGAAUCAAAAAAGCAGCAGAAUACGAGAAGGAUUUCUUUUCUUAAAGGGUGUAUACAUUAGAGUGUACCUGCUUGGUAGGCAUGAAAUCACUGACAAAGAGUUGCCUAGCUCCGAUGAGCUUGCAAGCAUAAUUUGGAAUUUCAUAGAAGCGGGCAUAGCUAGGGGUGAACCACGAGAAGUUAGAGCAAUUAAUGGGUAGGUAUCGUAAACAUCCUGAGUGUAUCACGGCAUUGAAGCAGAAGAAACAGAAAUGUUUUCCUUUCUUUCGCAUUUGAUUUGCAUGCCCCCUGUAGAUUUGACCCGGAGCCAAUGCCAGUCUUUUUUGCGAUCAAAUGCACUUGAGCUAGUCACUAAGUAAGGCGACAGCACCAAAAGAUGUGCAUGUGUCAUUAGGCCAUUGGAUUACUCAACAAAAAGUGAAGUGCCAAACGAUGAAGAAGAACACUUGAAACCAGGCACUGAACCCUAAAUGCUUCGCCUGGCUAACCAGAUAGAUUACUUCUAUCUGCUAGCUUGCCCUAAGAAAAACAACAGUUCCACAGAUAUCUCCAGUGCUUUUCUAUUCGAAACACAAGGGCGCUAAGCAAAGAGAAUUUCAAUUAACGAACAGUAGGUGCUUUUUCUUCCUUGGCCCAUCUCAGUGAUAUGUAGGCUCUCAGCCCUUACUUGAAUCAUCCGUCCUCCCUACAGAAAGAAAGCGAUUUUAUGCCCUCCCGAAGGAAAACGUUUGGGCCGGCUGGAGCUCGACACGGAGCAAAAUGUAGAUGAUCUCCGCAAAUGGGCGAGGUAGGAGGACGUGGUUGGAAGUUUUUUGACAGGAGGCCUUGCGCAAAAGACGAGUACUUCAGAGCCCACCAGGAAAAGGAUAUUGGUUCGCAUCUCUAUAUUGAUCCGCGGCGCUUCUAUGAAGUUUUCCUUGUCUCCGAUUUCAAAGCUGAAUGGAUGACUGAAUCUGUCGAAGCAUCAUUCGAUAUUUGCAGAUUGACGUAAUGCUAUGAGGAGUUAGAGUCUUCUGCGGGAAAGACAUUUCUUGUAGAGUUUUGUAGAUCUUUUUGCUCUACUUUUUCUAGUAUUCCUUACAUAAGAUCUCGGAAGAGCCGAUGUUUCCUUCCGUUCCCGGUAAAUAGGAAUUCUAUAUCCUCUAGCUCUUCGUGACCUGUUGUGUCUGCCCUCGACUUAGCCGUCAUAGAAUAGAAAGGUUUCUAACCGUUGAAAAGGAUACUUCUAAACGUUAAGGGGCGCUCAACCUUCCACUCAAAUCCUUUUUACCAGAAGGGAGCUCGCCUGCCAUGACAUAUAAGGGAAAAGGCAAUGUGUGGAACUAGAUCAAGUUUGAUCUGCCACUUACACUGGAAGGGCAAGAACUAAUGCUUAUGCGUAUUCUUCCACGGCAUAUAGAAGGUUAACUACUCCAACUCGAUGGCUGAGAGAAAAGUGAAAUCCUAGCUUUCCCUAGAAUCAGCUCUUUACUAUCCUGCCCCAGGGGGUUUUUCGGAGACAUUGAACCCUAGAUUUAGAAGCUUUCCCAAACAAACCUUUUGACCAGGAAAAGGCAUACCAAAGAUUUUUGGAAAGACACAUUGAAAUGGAAGCUCUCGAACCUAUUCCGAAGUAAGUUUAGGAUGAGGUUUCCGAUCCGGUUGGUGUUCCGACAUCCCGAAUCGAGGUGGCUCUAAACUCAGGUUUGCCUACCUCUCUAGUUACAGAGGGAGGAGAGGGGCUUCGUCUUUUUAGGUCUCUGAAAAGCCAGUUGACAUGUGCGAUCCAAUCAAGGAGGCAGUACUUCUGCCUGAGUUCCUCUGGAUCCUACUCGUCGGGAUUACCGUGCUCCCGCAGGUUGUUCACCAUGCGUUCCAUAGCACUUUGACUUUAUAUCUUUUACCAUCUUGGAAUCAUGUAGAUGUAGAUUGCUUUCAUCGCAGGGUCAUUCCUGAAUGUGGCUUGUACCAGCUCUUCGUCAUCAUAAAUAGAAGUGGUAUUACCAGCCAUUCUGGAGGAGCAGUUGAUUUAGCAAUUUUUAGUCUUCAUCUAUCAGGUAUUUCAUCAAUUUUAGGUUCUAUCAAUUUUAUAACAACUAUCUUCAACAUGCGUGGACCUAGAAUGACUAUGCAUAGAUUACCACUUUUUGUGUGGUCCGUUCUAGUGACAACAUUCCUACUUUUAUUAUCACUUCCGGUACUGGCGGGGGCAAUUACAAUGUUAUUAACCGAUCGAAACUUUAAUACAACCUUUUUUGAUUCUGCAGGAGGGGGAGACCCAAUAUUAUACCAGCAUCUCUUUUGGUUCUUCGGUCAUCCAGAGGUGUAUAUUCUCAUUCUGCCUGGAUUUGGUAUUAUUAGUCAUAUCGUAUCGACCUUUUCAAGAAAACCGGUCUUCGGGUAUCUAGGCAUGGUUUAUGCCAUGAUAAGUAUAGGUGUUCUUGGAUUUCUAGUUUGGGCUCAUCAUAUGUUUACUGUGGGCUUAGACGUUGAUACGCGUGCCUACUUCACCGCAGCUACCAUGAUCAUAGCUGUGCCCACAGGAAUCAAAAUCUUUAGUUGGAUCGCUACCAUGUGGGGAGGUUCGAUACAAUACAAAACACCCAUGUUAUUUGCUGUAGGGUUCAUCUUUUUGUUCACCAUAGGAGGGCUCACUGGAAUAGUUCUAGCAAACUCUGGGCUAGACAUUGCUCUACAUGAUACUUAUUAUGUGGUUGCACAUUUCCAUUAUGUACUUUCUAUGGGAGCCGUUUUUGCUUUAUUUGCUGGAUUUUACUAUUGGGUGGGUAAAAUCUUUGGUCGGACAUAUCCUGAAACUUUAGGCCAAAUCCAUUUUUGGAUCACUUUUUUCGGGGUUAAUCUGACCUUCUUUCCCAUGCAUUUCUUAGGGCUUUCGGGUAUGCCACGUCGCAUUCCAGAUUAUCCAGAUGCUUACGCCGGAUGGAAUGCUCUGAGCAGUUUCGGUUCUUAUAUAUCCGUAGUUGGGAUUCGUCGUUUCUUCGUAGUUGUCGCAAUCACUUCGAGCAGUCUUCUUCAUCUGGCCGCAUUGCAUCAAUAUGGAUCAAAUAAUCCAUUGGAUGUACAUUCUGAGAUGGAUAAAAUUGCUUCUUACUCUUAUUUUUAUGUAAAGGAUCUUGUAGGUUGGGCUAUCUUUUUGUCCAUUUCCUUUCGGUGGUUUUUGGUUCUAUGGAAAAUUUGCUCCAUUCUUUGGACAAUUAUGGAACUGGUCGCUCCCGGCAUCUUUGGUUACUCUGUGCCCAUGGAAUGCUUCCACGUUUUUCCCCCACUGCCUCCGGUAGAACCCGCGGAAAUAACCUCUUCCUUUAAGGAAAAUACAUCCUCCAUGGAUAGGCUGAUGUCGGUCUUGGGGGAAACUAGUGUUUCCACAGGUGAACCCUCCGUUAACCAACUCGAAAGAGAUAGUUAUACGGAACAACGCCACCUGUGUAUAAGUGCUAUCCGAGCUGAAAUGCUUGAGCAAUACAAGAAGGACGUUGGCAAGCGUCACUUCUUAAUGCAUAUUGCUUUUUUUGUGUACAAAGUAUACAAUCAGGGGAGGAUGGAAUCCGAUCUUGAUUCCAUCUGUCACCAUUUUGAGAUCGAAGAGUCCUCAUUGCAGGAUCUCGAAGAAUUUCUACAGGAUAUAAAGCGCAAUAAAAAAAUAUUGCGAGAUUUUUUUUUAAGGAAAUGGCCAUAGGAAGCAAGCAAGUUUUUCAUAUAGUUGUUUUUGUGUAGUGAUCUCUGUUCAUGGAGAUCACGAGGCCACUGAUACCCGAAGUGGUUAGGUGGGAUAGAAGAGAGGGAAAGCGGGCUUCUAUCACAUAGUUCUCUUUCAGGGUACAUAGGACGGCCCUCUCGUCAUUACCUUUUGUGCUUACCCGUAGCUAGCUGUGCCUGAAGUCAUGGAUGAUGCUAUUCCCACUGAGAGAUGUGCUGCAAAAUGGAAGCUGUGUUAGUCCUCGGCUAAAAUCAUCUUCCUUUAUUAAAGACCAUAUAUAUCCAUAUGUAGAUAGAAGAGGGGAUAUAGUCGUUCAAAGCUAAGGUGAGUCUGUUCCAGCUAAUUCCUCAGAUUCCACUUUCCUGUCUGUCCAUGUAAAAAGGAGUCCAGCCCACAAGGAGAGGGAAUCCACAAUAAUAUCUAUUUUAGAUGCUUUCUACUAUGUUUCAAGUGAUCAAAGAAUAGUAUCUUUAGACAGAACUGAAAUAGCAGAUGCAGAUUCGAAUGUUAAGGUUAUUAAAGCUUAAAAGAAAAAGCAGUCAUAGGUUAGGUGACUAAGAAAAGAAUGUGGAAAGGGUCACGGAUAGGAUUGGUAUAUUAGUUUCAGCUAUAACAGAGAUUUCUCAGCAUGUUUCUAUCUGGUUGGUAUCCGCUGGUACCAUUCAUUGUGAGUGCUUUUAGGGGUUGCUCAACUCUCGGCUAUUUUCACCAUCUAAAUGAUUGCAUCUUCCCGUUCUCACAAUUUCUCAAAGGUUAUUGUAUUGAUACUAUGGAAUUUAGAGUUAAAAAACAAUAGGGUUCAAUUCGAUUCAUUUUGGAAACUCUAGCGGGGCCAUCCCAAAUUCCUCUCAGCUGUCAUAAUUGAAUAAAAGGGAUCGUAUAGCUUUCCAAUCCAGCAACAUACAUCUAUCACCUAGGCAUAACUUCCAACAUCAGUAUGCAGAAAGAAUCUGUUUAGAACGGUUUAGAGUCGGAACCAAGGCAAGAUAUCUAGGAUUCCGUAUAGUAGAGGAACGAACACACUGGGCUUUCCCUUUCAAAUAGACGACCUGGAGACAGAUCAACACAGCCAAUGCUUCUUUUAGACCUAGAACCCGGACCAGAACAUGGAAAUGGUUACAAGGCAUCGAACGGCACUUGUCCUAUCAUACCUUCUCUUGUGGCUUUAGACUGUGUAUAUACUUGACCUUGCCAAGCAGAAGAAGCAGAAGCCCUAUUGGAAUCCGAGUCAGGGUCAUUGUUGUUACAGUUUCCCCUUUUGGUAAAGGUUGGGUUGAAGGGAUUGGGAUUGGCUUAUCGAGAUGUGCGUGUAUCUCAUAUCGUUCUAGUGACUCCGCUUUCCUGACCAGGGAACUGCUAUCUCAAGGAUAGUCAAGUCCCGGAUUCGAAAGUCGACAUGAUACGCUUGAUUGGUCUGGCAUCGCCGGUUUCGCAGGAUCACUUAUGCUAUUUCGAGAACAGAACCUGGCCCAUGGGGAAGAAGUAGUAGCCAAUGCCGAAACUACUUGCUUGCUUUUACUUUCCGACGCCAAUGCCAACAAGUGCUUUCCUGACUCGAGAACGAGUACAUACGCUUUCUCCGAUGCUUGCUCUUGUUACGAGCUUCUACCCGACCGAUUAGCCCAGAGCACUAAUACGCUUUCUUUCCUCGAACAAGUACCUUUCCUUCGAACGAGAAUGCCAACUGCUUCCUUCCAACAAUCCAAUACGAAUACGAAUGUACGAAUGACAGGCCAUUCCCCAGAGUAGAGUAGAAAUGAAUUCAUUCACAUCUGCUAGAAACCAGAGCCUGAGCUAUGAACUGAUCUAAGAGCGGACAAGCAAGCCUAUUCCUAUUGUUUUGGGUGGCAGAUUCAAUAUGUUAUUUCUCAUUGCGAAUACAGAUUCUUCUUGUACCGUAGUAGCUCGACUGCUUUCCUGACUUGACUCGAUAACUGCUUUCGCUUCCCCAAUCCCAGAGCAUCCAAGAGAUUCGUUUCCACACGCCUGAUCCGCAGUUCGAUUCGUGCCGGUGCCGGCAAGAGAUCCUGUUCCUGUUGGGCAAGGGAUUUGAUAGCUAGAAAAACAAGCGGCGGAUUCGAUUCUUUCUUUGAUAGCAGAACGGGAUAUUCCACUCUUUUAGAUGCGCACCGCACUUCAUCAGUAGAAAAGCCCGGCGCCUGAAACCCAAGCUCAAAACCACCCUUCCUUUAGUUGGACCGGCAUACAUAUCUUAUCUCGUAAGAAACCGGGGAAUAUUGAUUUCGAGUAAGCAUCGUAUCCUGAUCCUGCUAUUGAUGUAGAUUUAGCCACACCAGCACCUGGGCCCGCAACUGCUGCCUCUGUAAUCGAGGAAUAUCCCGUCCCGGAUUUGCCCUAAAGUAUUAUGGGAUAUCUAUUAUUAUUGGCAACUUGUUUAGUUCCCGCAGAAAGAGAUGCGCCAUAGUAUCCCUCGGGCAUGGGCCAACCACCAAGGCCAGGAACUAGAACAACUCGAUACUUUCCACCAUCCACAACCCUUGAUUUCUCAUAUUUGUGCAACGGCUGUUCUGGCACUAUUCUCCGAUUUCCACCCAUUGUUCACAUUCUAUAUACCUUGCCCCCUCCUCCCAACUUCAUCACACCCGCCUUUUUAACAUUGUUUUGAAACAAAGGAAACAUGCAACUGCCCGUACUUUCCCACUUGUAUAGCCCACCACUUAAUUAAUGCGCGACCUGAUGCGGGUCAUAUUGGAUGAUCAGCGAACCUAAUUAUAUUCACCUGUAGCCAAUGACCAAUACAUAAUCUCAGAAUCCUCACCCAGCUCGGUUGAUUAGAUCUCCCUUUAAUUCAUAUAUGCUACUUCCGGUCCGGGCAUAAGUGGAAACCCAUUGAUCUCGGGAUCAGGACUCGAACUUAGAAGCUCUUCCUCUUUUAGCAACCGGAUUGCUCCUCGCAAUAAAUAUGGCUCAGGUGUUGGAUCAAUAGCUCCUGUUUAGGAAGGAUGUCAUGGGCCCCCAAGCAUCCCCUUAAAUAUGGUGAAUGAAGAGAAUUGGACCAGUCCUUGAAUAGGAAUGAUGGGUAUCCUUGUCAUAGGGCUAUGUUUCUGUCAGAGUCUAGUGGCACCCUUUAAAGUAGUCUGGCUGGAUUGCUGCUGAAUAGCUUGAUGGGUCAGGGCAGAUUGAUAGGGAAAGAACCCUCGCCAUCUGGAAUCACUAUCUUCCGUGGAUGUUCUCGUUCUCCUUCUCUCAUUUCUGUGAUCGUAUAAGCUAGAUAGGCUUCUGUAGUUUCCGGGUUGCUGGGUUCCAUUUUUCUUUGCUUGCUGCAUAUCUCACUCAAUCCCUUGCUUUCGAGAAUAGCAUUUCCCUAGUGCUAGUUGUGGGUCAGAGUUGACAGAUCAGAAGUAGAAUACUUGACUUCUCUAAGAUGCCAGGAGGGAACAGAACAGUCAUGCAGAAGAGAGAAGCAGGUGAGGAUGGGACCCGGAAAUGCAUUCGAUUUUCUCGAGUGAAGUAGUUGAAAAUGUACCACCCUUUACGGGAUCUUCUCUGGUGCGCCAACCCUAGAAUUUCAUAUUAUGAUGGCGCUGGAACUGGAUCACUCCACUCCAGAGGCAGGUAAGCUUGCUCCUUGCACUGGCACUGGCUUGCUUCGCCCAGAUAGGGCUUCUGUUGGUCUCUCUUUUUCACUAUCACUGAAAUCCACCUCCUCUUUAGAAAAAUGAGAGCUGCUCUUUGGUAGUUUCGGUAGUCCCAAGUAAGCUAUCGACUCUGGUGUCCAAUCAGUUCUGAAGUCUGGCUUGUCAUUGGAAAAGGUAGCAAAGAAUAUCGUAUUAAGAUGUCGGUAGUACAAAGCAAGCUACUUCGUCUGUUCACUCAAUUGGCUCCCUAAUCUUGCCUUUCAAAGAAAGGAUAAUGCGUAGGAGUGAAGCAGUUGACUACUGUGUCUUGAGGAGUUCUGUACCGUACCCUGUGUGUCCGAUCGAGUUCUGCGGUCUACGGCUGUAUCCGACCAAUUAUCCAAGGCGCGGUCCACCUCUUUCUAUGCUUCAAUUUAGUGACGCAAGUAAUGGUGGUGUUUGUUGUACUAUAUGUACUGGGUUCGUUCUCUUGUUGUCAGUAUGUAUUGAACUACCGCAAUACAGGACUAGUGGGCCCCCCGUCUAUCUAUUAGCCGUCUAUCUAUUAGACCUAUCUAGAAGUAGAAGUUCGUUGCAUUCCCGGAGAUGUAGAAUUGAGUGUUUAGCUUACCGGGCAUUGUGCUAAGUUUGCAUCCGAAUCGAAAUCUGGCGCUACUACUCAAACGCGAAAGCUAGGGAAGGGAAUAGAAGGGCGGGUAGAUCAAUGUGAUGAUAGCACCACGCCAGGCACCGAAGACGAAAGCGAAACAUCGUCGGUAACACUAUACGUUGUAGUCUCGCAUUAUCCACUGGAUCCGCGGCUAACCAUAUAUAAUGCUCAAUGCUAUGCAAAAGCAAUAAAGGGGAGAUUGUCUUCUAACUAACUAUAUAAGUAAUUUAUAUAACUAGAUGAUUCUCGUUCAAAAGAUUCUUCCCAUUAUCAUUAUAUAGAGAGGCGGAGGCGCGUAGCAAUAAAAAAGCUUGCUUGUUGGGCUGAUGAGGCUCGAGAAAGACUGUGAAGUGAAGAUGCGCCAUUACCGAAACCAUUUCUUUGCUUUGGGCGAAGUUCCUUUAUAGGGAGCUCACUUCCUUGCUUGGUUGGUUGGUUGAACUUGCUUUUUAGGUGCGGUGCGUGCGGGUCUAGUUUCAUUUAUGAGUGCUGCGUAUAUUUCCGUUAGUAAUGGUUUUGAGCUUGGGAAGAAGGGAUAUGGGUAUGGCAUCAUCCCAUAUUUGAUCUAAGGCUAGUUCUGUGUGUGCAACUACUAUCUUAUCUCAAUAUCAGGCUAAGGCUUGGCUAAGUGCUCUAGAGGUUUUCCUUAUUGUCCUGGUUCUUACCUCAACAGGGCAGGGGAGAUAGUUGGAAGUUGAAUAGUCGUAUCAUAUCAGUUCAGAGAAUCCCUGUUGAAUGGCUUGGCUUUCAGUGCGAGUCUAGUUGACUGAUUCCUAGGCUAGCUUCUCCUUAUGUGCGGGUCUAGUCUACAGAACAGAUGAAGACCCAGAACCGAGGAGAACAGAACGAAUACCGAUCUCAGAGCGGACAAUCAAUCCCAGUUCCUAGUUUCCUUCAAGCAAUAGCCUGCCUGUUCCCGUUCUUCGUGUAGCAAACCUCCUAUAGUGGAUACGACUGAGAACGAGCUUGACUCCACUCACUGCAAAGGAACAACUGAUUCUCCAAUUCCGUGGUUUGUUUUCCUUUCAUUCUACCUACCUUCUUUUCACCGGAGGCAUAUUUGAUACGUUAUUUAACAUUCCGAAGAAAGUGCAAACUUCCAGAUCUGAAGGAAUGGCAAGAUCAGAGAUCCAUUUUACGCUGGGGCCUGGCCAAUGGGGAAUCAGUAGUACUCGACCUUUGCUUCAGAAAUCCACUGUUGCUGAAGAGAAGAGAAGAGAUUUCUAGCGCGCACUCCUAUCCGAGUAGAAAGACAGCCUACACUCACUGUUGGCAAUGGAAGAGACUAGACUCUUUCCACACUUAAGAUCCCAAGGGACAAGACAGAUCAGAUCUUUCUCUUUAGCCGGUCUCGUGUUAGAUCCUAUGAUUUGGUUAGUUAGCCUACGAGAACAAGUCACAAGUUUUUUGUUUGACUAUGCAUCCAGUUCGUUGCUAUCUCUAUCUUAAUCUACAUGGAUAUUAACACGCACUAUUCUUGAGAGUCAAGACACCGUUUUGCUUUAAAGAGCAAAAAAAAUCCCAGAUAAUUACUAAUGCACCGUUGAGUACACAGAUUCUUUUCCUGUUCGUACUGGAGUAUAGUAAGGAAAAACUGCUUGACCGAAUCAAGGUCAAGAUAACUAGUGUGAUUCCUACACUGGGAGAAUCGUGGAUAUGUAGGGAAUAGAGAAAUGCCACCCGCCUAAGUAAAGAACUGUUACAAAUAAAGAGGAAACUAAUAAGGAUAAGUAAGAAACAAGAGAAAAGAAACCAUAUUUGAUACCGGAAUAUUCGGUUUGAUAACCCGCAACUAAUUCCCCCUCUGGGUAAUCUUUCACAUUCGGCCAAAGAAGAAAUUCGAAAAACUAGAAAGCCUAUAGGCUGACGCCAAAGAUUCCAUCAAAAAAACCAUAUUUUGGCUGUGCUUCAACUAUACCAACUGUACUUGAACUGUUAGAUAAUCAUAGUCGAUAAUAACAUCACAGCUCCCACCGCUAUUGAAAAACCUUACAUGAAACCUUAGCUUCAUACGGCUCCUCUAUGAUCAGAAAAAAAGGACUGUUUCGGUAUUAUCCCCCAGGUUUAUCAGUUGCAGGUGAAUCCUGUGAAACAUCUCUCUCGAGGCUAGUAACAACACUUGGAAAUGAAAAAUGAGCUUAGCGGCUGUACCGGGUCAGGACCAUAAACACCACGAGCCGGUUAAGCAACAGAAGCUGUGGGCGAAAGCACACUCGUCAUUCUCAGACCUGCGGUCGAGGUACGUGCGAACAAGUUCCCAUUCUCUAUGUUUCAUGGCCUAUCAAUGAAAGUCGGUAUCAGGCUGGCUCGCUUGGCGGGUCAUCUCCUUAUAUACCUAAAUCCUCGUUUCACUCAUCUGUAAAGGUCUACCCUUCGAAAGGUAGGUUGAGUUCCCCCGUAUGUAGCCAGCCACACUCUACUCGCAGGUAAAAUAUUGGCGUAGACAACAGAGAAUGUGCUAGGUAGGAAACCGAAGGAACUCUUACUAUACGAGAAUUUGCAAUUCAAUAUGACAACCGAUCAGAAGGGAUUGGACGAUCCCAAUGCGUUGCCCUCCUUCGCAAUACCGGAACUAUCUGACCGAGCUCCAUCAACACAGAAAGCGGAAGGGACAGCAGAUACAGAUAGACUGGAUCCGGAAAGGGAUUUCAGCCAGUCCUUGCCUAUUGCUGGGCUGGUUGUUUUGUCACGGUCCGAUUAGUAGAAGGUGAGUGAGUAAGACGAGGCCCCCGAAGCGUAAUGUAGAGCUAUACUGCUCUUGUUUUUCCUUCCGCCCUGCUUAGGAGAACUUUGUCUAGAACCCACUUUAGCUAGCUUUCAAGGAUACCAUUACAGAUGAGUGAAGCGAGUAUACCGUUUCCGGAGCUCCCGAGGUAGCGCGGUAGCGGAAGCCCUUUCUAGUUCAAGCAGUUCCAAUUCCUAUUCUGCUUCACCGCUUACACCACACUCUAUUGGUUCGCCUUGUGGUGCCUUUCGAUCAAGGUCUACUUUGGUUGAUCCACUUUCUUCUACAGCGCGUUAUCCGCAUCGAAGUUAGCCAGGUUCCUACCGCUUCUUGAUAUUAUGGAUUUUGCAAUCCCUGAACGCCAGUGCUUCUACAACCAACGGAUACUAUUUAACAUAAAUAAUAAGUAGAAAUGGACAAACGAGUGUGGCUACACAGAGUGAGGAAAAAAACAUGGUGGUACCAGCAUUGCGUAUCACUCACUAUGCUUUAUGUAAUAUGGCUUAAGCAAUGGUAAAAUGGGAGUCCUGAGCAAAGCACAUCUGAUCGAUAUGAAUGAAAGAUACAUCCGUCUUUUCUUCUCCUUCGAAGGUUAGGUAUCCGCUCGUUAGUUCAGCGCCGCAUAAAUACUGACUUUAAAAGGGGCGACUCCCGCCUGUGCUUAAGUUGUUUCAAGCUUGUAAAGACUCGCGAUCGGAAGAUUGACCUGGUUUUCUUUCAGCGGAAACUCUACCUAAUGGUUCAGGAAAUGGAAAUGGUAACAGCGGCCCAAAAAUGGUAAGGUUUUCUUUUCAAAGAAAAAGGAACGCAAAAGUUUCGCGAAAUCCUUAUCUUUCGGCUUUUUAAAGAAGAUAGGCCAUUACAAAAACAAGGUAUAACAGUCGAAUUUCCUAUCAGGAUUUUACAACCUGAAUACCAAGGGACCACUAUUAGAAGAGAGCAUAAUAAGUAAAUGCCGACGCCAUCUUUGACUUUUUGGAUGGUCGGCGGCGCCAUAAACUCGAUAACCAGCACCGCGGAGUCAAGAAAUUCAACUAAAUAGAAUCCUAAAACAAUCUUAUUCGAGCACACACGGGACCCACAGCAAUGAAAUUCACACAAGCGGCAAUCAUCCGAGCAGAGAAUGGAGAAGGGAAAUAUACUUGAAAUUGUUUUUUUCCGAAUGAGAAAGCCUUUGGCAAACUCCUUGCAAAUCUGUUUUUGCCGGGCACAAUAGACAUAUCUGCUCAGUCACAACAUAAGGAACCCCCAAUGUUCCUCAAAGCCUACCCGGCCUGACAGCUUUAGUUGAAUGAUCUGAUCCCGAAGCAAGCUUUCUACUUAAAUUGCUAUGACUGGCCAACUAAUGAUAGGACUACAAUUAUAGUAGCAGGAAUCAUUGAUAGAUAUAGGGCGAAGAAAUCAAUGGAGAGAGAGCUUUGAACGUCAAUUGCCUAUGGUUCAUAAAGAUAGUAGCCCAUAGCUCCUUUAUCAAUUUCCUUCUGAAACUUAUCAGGGUCUAACAAUGUUGGAGAAGUAGUAUUGCUGCUGUCAGAAAGAAUAAUGGUUUCUUGCCCAUUAUGACAAAUACUCAUUGUUCUGGCCUUCCAAUCUAAAUUGAUUGGACUGUGACGAUAUAGCCAAUCAUAACCCAGUAUAACAUCAUUGCUUUCCAAUUUCAGUAGCUUGAAGGUGUCUUGAAAUGUGUGCCCUUUAAUAAGUAGUAUCUGCAGUGUAAGCUCCAGUAGUUAAUUGACCUCCUCCAGCCACUUUGACAGUAAACAAAUGUUUCUGACUCUCAUAUCAGUGAAGCCCACACCACCAUAAUCUUUAGGGGUGCAUAGGUGUUCCCAUCUGACCAUGUGAAAUUUCUUCUUCUUACUCCCAGUAGAAGUGAUUUCUUAUUGUAUCAACUUUUUUCUGUAUUUUGACAGGCAAAGUGUAGCAACCCAGAAGGUACAUAGGGACAUUUGAUAAACAUGCAUUGAUCAAUAUAUCUCUUCCUCCAUAAGAGAAAUGUUUGCAUUGCCAAGAGUCCAACUUCUUUUCUACCUUUUAAUGAAAAAAAUCAUUAGAAGAGAUCUUGUCUUUGCUGAUUGGUAAUCCCAGAUAUUAUAUUUUAUUGGAAAUUUGCCUAUCUCACAGUUAUAUCAGCUACCCUCUGCUCCUCCUCUACACUCAACCCUACUGUGAAAAUAUCACUCUUCAAGUAAUUGACUUUCAUGCCAGACAUUUCCUCUAAACAGUAGAGAAGGAAUUAGAAUCCAGUAAUAGACUCCAUGUCAUUAUGCAAAAAAAGCAAAGUAUCAGAAGCAUAUUGCAAAUGACUAAUCCCCCCUGGUAUCAGAUGUGGUACUAAACCUCUAAUCACACCUGCUUCCUUAGCUCUAUCCAGAAUUGCAGAUAGUGCAUCACCUACUAGGUGAAAAAGCAAAGGAGAAAGAGGAUCUCCUUGCCUCAAACCUCUGAAAGUAGAGAAAUAUUCUCGCCAAUCUCCAUUCAUAUUCACACACACUUUGCCUCCUUCCACUGCUUGUCUAAUCCAAUCUAUCCACCUGUCAGGGAAGUUUUUCCUAUGCAUUACCUCUGCCAAGAAAGGCCACUGAACUCUAUCAUAAGCUUUUUCAAAGUCCAACUGAAGCAAAAUUCCUUCAGAGUGAGAGGUUUUCAACUCAUGCAAAACUUCAUGAAGAAUUACACAUCCAUCCAAAAUGUACCUCCCAGGAAUAAAUCCAGUCUGAAGAGAGCUGAUUACUUCUCGAGCCAGAGGAGUAAAUCUAAGUGUCAGAGCUUUGGUAAUAGCUUUAAACAUAACAUUUAGAACACAUAUGGGUCUAUACUGUAGGAUACUAUUAGCAUCCUUAAUCUUUGGCAGUAGAGAAAUGACACCAUAGUUUAGUCUGGACAAGUUCAACCUGCCAUGAUACAGCUCCUGAAGCAUUUAUAUUAGUAUAUCUCUCAACUGGGGCCAAAAAGCUCUAAAAAGCUAACAGAGAAGCCAUCUGGACCUGGAGCAGUAUUUGGUUUCAUGCUUUUCACCACCUUGUCUAUCUCUUCACUCAUGAAGUUAAUACAAGUGAGGACUGAUUUCUGUCAUUCAUAUAAUUCAGAAGAGGAAGGCCGGUUGAGUGCUUUCCGCGUAAGACUAUUGAGUUUCCAGCUGAUUGCCCAUAUUUUCCAGGAUAGGAUUUGUCCACUUGAUUGAAUUCAUGUCAUUGAAGCAAUGAACUUGCUAGCCAGCGUGCCAAAAAGGUUGCUGACUUUGGGUACACAGAGUAGUGGCGAGAAAAGGGCUUGCGCCUCAGCCGUUUCGCUUGAUUCGGACCUUGUGGUUGUAGUCACAGGGUACAAAGAUAACCCCACAACCAUUUGUUGUAUUCUUUAAGUCAAUCGCUCGUAGUAUGUGCUAGAAUGAGAUGAGAUCCAGCUCAAAGGUGAAGACCUCAUUCUUUGAACCCUCCCGGGCAGUUCCUGUUCUAGCUUCUCUAUCUCUAGCAAGUGAUACGAACAACACAACAUCUUCUCCGGUCGUAGGUCGGUAGGGCUUGCCCUGGCUAAGAAAUGGAAUAAAAAAUUCCCGGUUUCUUGACUGUUUCUGAGAUUAUUUACCUUUAUUUACAUGAAGAUGCACGGUCUCUUACACUUUUCCUAGCUUAAGUUGGCGGAUUGGUAAACAAACGGCUCUGCAGCUCCGUUCGCUUCGGCACCACUCCCUUGCUUCUUAUCGAGGUCGGUGCCAACAAACAAGUCCCAUUCGAGCAAUGGAAUCUACAUAAGAAUGUAAUCACUGUUAAGUAUUCCACUCACUGAUGCCCAGGAAAAUGGGCCUCUGAAGAAAGCAAAGACGUGGCCCAGACCGAAAAAGGAACUUGAUCACCCGGAGAAGAUUUCUUUUCUUUGCUGAUUCCUCUCAAUGAAAUUUGCCAUGUUGCACUAAGUUACUUACGGAUGUAUGCAUGCAGUCCGGGAACACUUUGGGGUGAACACCCAUCCGAACAAGUAGGGUCAAUAGUUCAGCAUUUAGGCCGUAACAUUUAGCAAAAAACGAAUCUGAAACCCAACAAGUGCUCUCCGAACCAAGCUAGAUAGUCUCCUAUCACUAGGCUCACCAACCAACCUGGACUUUGAUUCUUUCUUAUUAUUCUAACCGGAUAUAAAAACCAUAAGGAUUGUUUCCAGCCGAGAGUUCCCAUAUGACAUAAGCGCUCUUGGGUGGGGUGGGCCCUCAUUCGCCAGGUCUUUGAGUGCCCGUCGUACCACGUGGUUGGUACACUAGGCUGAUAGAUACUUUACUUUAAGGAUCUGGCACCUUCGCUAGACGGAGAGUAAGCGACUUCUAUUAGCACCGGACCGUCGAGUCGAAUUUCUCGUGUCAUGUGCAACGUCCAUCAAUGGUGGUUCAUUAAUGUCCAUAGAUUUAGACUCCUUCCCCCUUCCCUAAUACGCAAAAGAUAGAGAGGGGCCCGAACCCAAACCGAGAACGUAAACAGAAUUCGACUCACUCUCGUAUGGCUCGCCCUCGAGCCCUGGGCGAGUCGGCCGGGUCUUUCCCUCUUGUUCUGUUUCCGCCACGAUAAAGACGCACGGAAGAACUAUGGUAUGCCCAGCGCGUGGAGGAUCCGUUGAGAGUGUCCCUUGUCUCGGUAGGGAACAAUACCUAUUGUCUUGAAAAAAAAAGUCAGUGCUACGGUCCCCUAUUGUUUGAUCCAAUAUUGACCGGUGCGGAUCACGUUCUACUACCUCCGGUCCGUGGUUCGACCUCCCGUAGUGGUCCUUGCUUUUCUUUUUGAAAGCUCCGCAGGGCCAAUUUUGCGUACUUGCUCAGCGUGCCCCCCUUUCGUCGAGUGCCCCGCCCGGUUCACAGGGCUGUUGGCCUACCAAGCAAGCACUUGCCCGCUGCUCCUGCCGCCUGCCAAGUGGGCUCCGCGCUCGUUAUCCUGACUGUUCUCUCUGCUGGGCCCUUUCCUAUUGCUCUAACCAUAAGCUAUGGCAAUUCCAUCUCGCACCCACUCUGGCCCGCCAAGCGGGGCCUGAGUGAGCUCAGUGGUCAGCCCCUGACGUUAGGGGUCUUUCGCUUUUGCCAGAUCUAUAGAGAUAUUACGAGUCCUCCGUCCCAGAUUCCCUCGCCGCGGCCAUCUGGUUCACCGGUACUACCAAAAAGUCUCAUGCUUACGUUACUGUGACUGAUAUAUAAGUAUGAUCUCGGACUACGAAGACCAAGUCGUGCUUCUGGUUUCCAUUCUCAUCAUCAUAUUGAAGGAAACUCCUCGUGCUCUGCCAUAAGAACUUGGAGUCCAUAUCAUGGUGAAGGUAAGGUAACGCUGUGAUUCUUGCUCAAAAAACUGACCGAACACGUUCGAGUUAUUGGCUCGUCCGACCCGGCAGCAUUCAUGAGUCGCUCGUUCAACUGUCCCUCGGAGACACGGUCGAGAAGUGCCAUGCAUGGUCGCCCCCCCCCCCGUCCUUUCUUUCUCUCGGUCCCACCAGGGUGGGCCCCUCUGGGGUAAUAAAGAAAUGGAUAAAAAAAGGGGACUUCUGCUACGGGCUAUGCCACCCAUUACUUAUGAGGGAAGUCGCAUCCGUCCCAUCGCAAGCACCUACAAUGUCAUGAUCACAUUGGUUUACCCUUUUUUGGUAGUUCAACGGACGGUCGCCCCUCCAACAAGAAAAGGUAGAAAUAUGGAAACUUCUCUGCCAUUUAGAUCGGAGAAUUUAUAGAGGAAAUCGGGUUUUAAAUUUCCAGAAACCACACGAUUAUAUAGCCANNNNNNNNNNAACUGGGGCCAAAAAGCUCUAAAAAGCUAACAGAGAAGCCAUCUGGACCUGGAGCAGUAUUUGGUUUCAUGCUUUUCACCACCUUGUCUAUCUCUUCACUCAUGAAGUUAAUACAAGUGAGGACUGAUUUCUGUCAUUCAUAUAAUUCAGAAGAGGAAGGCCGGUUGAGUGCUUUCCGCGUAAGACUAUUGAGUUUCCAGCUGAUUGCCCAUAUUUUCCAGGAUAGGAUUUGUCCACUUGAUUGAAUUCAUGUCAUUGAAGCAAUGAACUUGCUAGCCAGCGUGCCAAAAAGGUUGCUGACUUUGGGUACACAGAGUAGUGGCGAGAAAAGGGCUUGCGCCUCAGCCGUUUCGCUUGAUUCGGACCUUGUGGUUGUAGUCACAGGGUACAAAGAUAACCCCACAACCAUUUGUUGUAUUCUUUAAGUCAAUCGCUCGUAGUAUGUGCUAGAAUGAGAUGAGAUCCAGCUCAAAGGUGAAGACCUCAUUCUUUGAACCCUCUCGGGCAGUUCCUGUUCUAGCUUCUCUAUCUCUAGCAAGUGAUACGAACAACACAACAUCUUCUCCGGUCGUAGGUCGGUAGGGCUUGCCCUGGCUAAGAAAUGGAAUAAAAAAUUCCCGGUUUCUUGACUGUUUCUGAGAUUAUUUACCUUUAUUUACAUGAAGAUGCACGGUCUAUUACACUUUUCCUAGCUUAAGUUGGCAGAUUGGUAAACAAACGGCUCUGCAGCUCCGUUCGCUUCGGCACCACUCCCUUGCUUCUUAUCGAGGUCGGUGCCAACAAACAAGUCCCAUUCGAGCAAUGGAAUCUACAUAAGAAUGUAAUCACUGUUAAGUAUUCCACUCACUGAUGCCCAGGAAAAUGGGCCUCUGAAGAAAGCAAAGACGUGGCCCAGACCGAAAAAGGAACUUGAUCACCCGGAGAAGAUUUCUUUUCUUUGCUGAUUCCUCUCAAUGAAAUUUGCCAUGUUGCACUAAGUUACUUACGGAUGUAUGCAUGCAGUCCGGGAACACUUUGGGGUGAACACCCAUCCGAACAAGUAGGGUCAAUAGUUCAGCAUUUAGGCCGUAACAUUUAGCAAAAAACGAAUCUGAAACCCAACAAGUGCUCUCCGAACCAAGCUAGAUAGUCUCCUAUCACUAGGCUCACCAACCAACCUGGACUUUGAUUCUUUCUUAUUAUUCUAACCGGAUAUAAAAACCAUAAGGAUUGUUUCCAGCCGAGAGUUCCCAUAUGACAUAAGCGCUCUUGGGUGGGGUGGGCCCUCAUUCGCCAGGUCUUUGAGUGCCCGUCGUACCACGUGGUUGGUACACUAGGCUGAUAGAUACUUUACUUUAAGGAUCUGGCACCUUCGCUAGACGGAGAGUAAGCGACUUCUAUUAGCACCGGACCGUCGAGUCGAAUUUCUCGUGUCAUGUGCAACAUCCAUCAAUGGUGGUUCAUUAAUGUCCAUAGAUUUAGACUCCUUCCCCCUUCCCUUAUACGCAAAAGAUCGAGAGGGGCCCGAACCCAAACCGAGAACGUAAACAGAAUUCGACUCACUCUCGUAUGGCUCGCCCUCGAGCCCUGGGCGAGUCGGCCGGGUCUUUCCCUCUUGUUCUGUUUCCGCCACGAUAAAGACGCACGGAAGAACUAUGGUAUGCCCAGCGCGUGGAGGAUCCGUUGAGAGUGUCCCUUGUCUCGGUAGGGAACAGUACCUAUUGUCUUGAAAAAAAAAGGUCAGUGCUACGGUCCCCUAUUGUUUGAUCCAAUAUUGACCGGUGCGGAUCACGUUCUACUACCUCCGGUCCGUGGUUCGACCUCCCGUAGUGGUCCUUGCUUUUCUUUUUGAAAGCUCCGCAGGGCCAAUUUUGCGUACUUGCUCAGCGUGCCCCCCUUUCGUCGAGUGCCCCGCCCGGUUCACAGGGUUGUUGGCCUACCAAGCAAGCACUUGCCCGCUGCUCCUGCCGCCUGCCAAGUGGGCUCCGCGCUCGUUAUCCUGACUGUUCUCUCUGCUGGGCCCUUUCCUAUUGCUCUAACCAUAAGCUAUGGCAAUUCCAGCUCGCACCCACUCUGGCCCGCCCAGCGGGGCCUGAGUGAGCUCAGUGGUCAGCCCCUGACGUUAGGGGUCUUUCGCUUUUGCCAGAUCUAUAGAGAUAUUACGAGUCCUCCGUCCCAGAUUCCCUCGCCGCGGCCAUCUGGUUCACCGGUACUACCAAAAAGUCUCAUGCUUACGUUACUGUGACUGAUAUAUAAGUAUGAUCUCGGACUACGAAGACCCAGUCGUGCUUCUGGUUUCCAUUCUCAUCAUCAUAUUGAAGGAAACUCCUCGUGCUCUGCCAUAAGAACUUGGAGUCCGUAUCAUGGUGAAGGUAAGGUAACGCUGUGAUUCUUGCUCAAAAAACUGACCGAACACGUUCGAGUUAUUGGCUCGUCCGACCCGGCAGCAUUCAUGAGUCGCUCGUUCAACUGUCCCUCGGAGACACGGUCGAGAAGUGCCAUGCAUGGUCGCCCCCCCGUCCUUUCUUUCUCUCGGUCCCACCAGGGUGGGCCCCUCUGGGGUAAUAAAGAAAUGGAUAAAAAAAGGGGACUUCUGCUACGGGCUAUGCCACCCAUUACUUAUGAGGGAAGUCGCAUCCGUCCCAUCGCAAGCACCUACAAUGUCAUGAUCACAUUGGUUUACCCUUUUUUGGUAGUUCAACGGACGGUCGCCCCUCCAACAAGAAAAGGUAGAAAUAUGGAAACUUCUCUGCCAUUUAGAUCGGAGAAUUUAUAGAGGAAAUCGGGUUUUAAAUUUCCAGAAACCACACGAUUAUAUAGCCAAAGGGAAUACGCCGCGCCUAAAAUCAUCCCAAGCGCAGCUAAUGUGGCUACUAAGCUAUUUCUUUGGAAAGCUCCUACUAAGAUUAGAAAUUCCCCGAUAAAGCUGCUAGUGCCGGGUAAACUCAUAUUGGCUAAAGUGAAAAAGAAGAAAAUGGUAGAGAAAUUCGGCAUGGUGCUCACUAAACCUCCAUAAUAUCUAACAAGUCGAGUCUUAUGUCGGUCAUAUAGAACACCAACACAUAGAAAAAGGGCUGAAGAAACCAGUCCAUGACUUAACAUAAGUAAAAUGCUACCUCCAAUUCCCUGUAUGUUCGAUAGAGCCUAAUAUUCCCCCAGAGUACGCCGCUUACCCCCCGAACCGUACAAGAUAGUUACCACCUAUCAUACGGCUUUCUAACUCCACUUCUUUUUCUGGUCGUUCCGCUCUGUCGGAUCGAUGGUAGUCUCAGAGAUCUGGUAACCUCCGACAUUUUUGACAACACGCUUCCUGCUUCUGUUUUGAGUUGCGCAUCUUUCUCCCCGGGGCAUACUAUAGUAUCACAUCGUAGACGCCCACCCCAACUCUAUCUUCCUUAUCAGUGAACCGGAACAUAGUGCAUAGGUACUCUUCGAUGCUGCGAGGACGAGACGAGGUGACAUACUACGAUCACGCACUGAAGUUCUGCCCUUCGGCUCGGCAUAUGGAACCUCUCAGCUGCUCCCUCGGGAUAGGUAGGCCCACCCCCCCUUUCCCGAGAGGCGGCCGGGCUGUGUUUCCCCUGCGGCCACCCAGUGGCGGCAGAAAACGAAAAAGGGUGGGCUCCGCGCGGUUCGCGUUUUAUUGUAAAAAGAGAGCUUUUCAUUCUCUUAUAGAAGCCCGCGCCCACGCGGGUAAAGCCCAGCGAAGCUGCAGGGAGCACUGAGCAAUGGGGGGAUGAGGGCGACUCCGCCCACGGGUUGGACCACACCACAGGCAAAAGUCCUUCCACGGCAAGAGAAGGGUGACCGGAACAAGAAAAGGGAGCUAGUCGUUGGAGGGAAGACAAGGCUCGUUCCGUGCGACUCCACAGAAGAGUACGCGCGCUAGAAAAGGCAGCCAGCUUAAAAACGCUAGCUAGCUACUUUUGUAGCCUUAUUUAGUUUGGUUGCCUAUGCUUGCUCUCCGACGCGCUACGGCAACACCCCCUGCUUGCUUCUUUCUGUUCGACGCGGAGCUCGCAGCCUCCCCACCCUUGCUUAGCAUUCCACUUGUGAUCCUGGAGGAUUUGGAGAAAUGCGCCCGACCAUGAAGAAUGGAUUUUGUAUUUUAUUUCAUGUGAACGGCCCUAUCUUGUAAAGAAUGGUUUUUCGUGCUAUAGACCACGUUGAGAAAGACCAACCAACAACACAAAUAAAGACCGUUCCAUUUGGGUACCUCGAAAGGGAGGUGCUCCUUAUGAUGCUACGGACGGCUGUCCGAAGUGCAUGCAAUGACGGGCUCGGAUAGGAUAGGAUUGUGCGCGCCGGGCCCUUCGGGUGUCCAUAUUUUGGCCGACCUUAGCGUAUAUACUAUGUUAUGCGGCCGUAAUAUUUUGAUACCUUCCACCGCUGUUACGCCAGAAAUCCAAGGUUCCACACGAGCUCCUGUUCUGCGGCGUGGUGGCAGGACCGCUAGGGGAUUGGCUCCGGGUGUAGGUAGGGUCAAAUCCGCAGGGGUCAUGCAAAUACAUAGGCCCCUUCCCUUCUGCCGAGUUGUUUAGAAGGCGCUUUCCGUUCUACGGUCCCUCGGAGCGAAGGGUUAGGCAGGUAGUACGGUCCCUCUGACUUCCAGCUAUGUGCUGUGUGCGACUCCGGCGAAGCGAAUGAAGGGAAGCUCUUCGAGCUUUCUCCGCCAGCGGCUUAUGUAGUGGUCGGCAUUCCUACGUGCUCCGACUGAUCCCCACUGGAGAUUAUAUGAGGGGUCUUGGAAACUGUCGUGACGCUUUGGUGACGAAGGUCACCGGGGUGACUAUGGAAGGAUUCCGUGGUAGUCUCUGACUCCCUCCAACUCAAUCAAUAUCAAGAACAUGUCGUGAGCAUGGGGGUUUGGCCGACUACUAAACUAUUGGCUAGGGCUUUUCUAGUUAUAGCUUCUAUAGUGAGUGGCCCUUCCGCUUUGAUCUAGUUGUAGUUUGUAUUGUACUAAAUUGAACACAUAUCAAAGAAAGGCGAUCAAUCAAUAAGUAGUUGCCCUUCUCCGGCCUGGGAAAAGCAGCGAACUCGUUAAACAAGGGGCUUUUUUAUUCAUGGUCGCUACUGUUGUAUUGUAUAUUGUCGGGGGAAGCUACUGCUUCUACGACAGCUCCGCUUCCUCGUCUUGCUUCUACUUUGCUUGUUUGCGCGAAGGCUUAGAGUCCUUUUCGCUAGGUCCAAAUUCGUCAAAGCGAAAGAUCUGAUCCAACGGAAAUCCCGCAUAUUGAGCGCAGCUGAUAUGUGGCUACUAGGCGCGAUCAUCCCGCAUGCCAUAAAAAAUACUUCUUUUUUUUAUGGCCCGUCAUAUAAAGAUAGAAUAGAUAUGGAUAGAGAGACAUUCUAUUGAUUCGCGAAAUGGCUCGUCGAUCCAAAUGAAUCAUUCUUCUGGUCUCUCUCUGCCCCCCCGCCCCAAAACUGACCCACGACACAGCGCCCAUUCGUUUCGCGCGCGGGAAGGCAACGAAGUUCUGUUCAAAAGACCGCAGCGGAGUGGAGCAGCCGCGACACGAAGUUCCUUACCUUAGCUGGAUCUCGCUGGUGCCACCUAAACGGUAGGUAUAGGCGGCGGAUGUCUGACGUUUGGAGUUGUCGUUCGUGCACCUGUCCCCAAUAGAAGAAUGAGUGAUCCCUUCCCCUGCGGAUCAUGGCCUUACCACUAGGUCCCCGAUGGCCAGCGGGGGAUUCGGUAUAGCAGCUCACGUUCGUUUGCGCUUCGCGUUCCCACUGGACUGGGCACGUGUUAGCUGUAGGAAGUAUGGUUACGAAAGUGACUUCGGUUCGCCAGUUCAGGCUCAACUCCUCGCUUUACGUUAGCGGACUUACAGGUCGGGCCGGGGAUCCACGCUCUUUCUUUCUGUGUGGGACGAUGCCGGGGAAUGUGUCGAGGCGGCGAACAACAACAAGACAACUAACUACAUUUGCUUUUUCCCUCCAUGAGAUGAGCCAGUGCAUUGGACCGAUGGAUAAUAGAACUGAGCUGGCCAAACGCUUGGGCGCUCUACAUAUGAUGUAGAAAAAAUCAGAUACAUAUCGAUUUCUUUCUGAUGGAUCCAGAAUAGAUAGAUAUCUUGUAUCAUCAAUAGAUAGAAAGAGGUCAACCCUUAUUAUUGAUAGAAAACCUUUCGAUCUAUCAGAACAGAUCAGGCCAUCUAUCAAUCGAUUUGAAUCAUCUCGCUUUUCGUUCAUUUCAGCCACGCCAUAAUAGCCGCCACAAUAAGAAAGAAGCAAGCGAAACAGCUAGAAGCGCUCGCUUCGCCGCGCCCAACAAUUCUUAUUCACGGGAAAGCCAACCGAAAGAUUCGAUUCGGACUUCGUAGAGCCGGUGCUGCUGCUGUCUGCGUAGGGCCGUCCCCCACUCCCGUCCCGGGGCGCUAAGGGGUUUUGUUUUAGGAACAGACGGCGGUGUUUUGCUGACGCCUCGAAUCGACGCUUUUGUUGCGACAUGCUAAGUUUUCUCCCCUAUUGCUAGUAGGUUGAUGGGUCGCACGCCCGGCACACAUGUUUUGGCCUUGCUUGUGUGUCCAUAACUCAAAAUAGGUGACCUAACGGCCGCCGCCCGACUAAACAUACCAAUAGUCACCAAAUUCAUAUGGGCUACUGAGGAGUAGGCAAUGAUCUUCUUAAGAUCGAUCUGUCUUAAAGUGGUCAAGGAAGUAUAUAUUAUAGCAAUCGCGCUUAGAGUAUAAAUGAAAGGAGUGAAACAAAGUGUCGCUUCGGGAAACAUGGGUAUUGAAAAUCUUAAAAACCCGUAGGUUCCCAAUUUUAAAAGAAUUCCAGCCAAGAUGACGGAUCCAGCCGUAGGUGCCUCUACAUGGGCUUCGGGUAACCAAAUAUGAACUGGUACCAUAGGCACUUUGACGGCAAAAGAGGCGAAAAAAGCAAUCCAUAGAAGGAUUUGGCGCCGCUCACUAAAUUCAGUGGUUAAUAAAAUUUGUAAAUCGGUGGUUCCUGUUUGGAGAAGAAUCAACAGAAUAGCUAAUAGCAUAAAAACGGAUCCAAGUAAAGUAUAUAGGAAAAACUGAUAUGCUGCCUUGAUCUUUCUUUGUCUCGAACCCCAUACCCCUAUAAUGAUGGUAGAGUCAGGGGUGGCCCCAAAGCGGAAUUGACCGGUGGUAGUUGGUCGAAGCUCCAGUGGGUAGCCACUCCCUUCUCAGGGAACCGUACGUGAGACUUCCGCAUCAUACGGCUCCGUCCCGAGCUUCCGUCGUCGGCCCUUGUCAUUAGACCACUAUGCUUGUCUUUUCCGCCUUGACUCUCGAAUCUUUUGCUUCUCGGGUGGUGGCGAACAAUGUUGCUUGCGUAGCGGGAGAUGCCCGCCCGUCGUUUAGGCCUGCUUCCUGCCCGAAAGAAGGCUAGCCGGACUAGUGGUAGGGGACCCGACCGUAAAAACCCUACCCUAUUCUCGAACCCUCUGCCGAGCUCUACCCUGCCCGCAUUUAUUUGGAAGGGGGCCAAAGAAAUGUCUCCACCUGCUGCCAACAGUCUUUCUUCGGAAUUCUACUGAACGGGUCGAUCCUCCCCUCCGUUUGUUUUAGCAACUUAUCCUAAGGUCUCUUCGCCAAGAACUCUCCGGCAACGACAGAGGAACUAACCUGCCUGCAGUGGCGGGGCGGCUUUUUUUUUAAAUAAGACCUGGACGAUUAUCCCUACCCUCGGUAGCUUACGAGUUUACGUCCAUCCCUGGUCGGGUACAGUUUCCUUUAUUUUUAUCCCUUGUAGCCGUUACCCGAAUUCGCGCAAGUGUGUCCACACCCCCCCUGACUUGACGAGGAAUUCAUUCUCGCGAACAAACACACCCCCUACACACACCUAGGAGCACCCCUUCCUGCAUAUCCAUACAAGACCUGAGUAGGCGGGUCGAGGUCCUACGANNNNNNNNNNCUCUUCGCCAAGAACUCUCCGGCAACGACAGAGGAACUAACCUGCCUGCAGUGGCGGGGCGGCUUUUUUUUUUAAUAAGACCUGGACGAUUAUCCCUACCCUCGGUAGCUUACGAGUUUACGUCCAUCCCUGGUCGGGUACAGUUUCCUUUAUUUUUAUCCCUUGUAGCCGUUACCCGAAUUCGCGCAAGUGUGUCCACNNNNNNNNNNAAAAACCCUACCCUAUUCUCGAACCCUCUGCCGAGCUCUACCCUGCCCGCAUUUAUUUGGAAGGGGGCCAAAGAAAUGUCUCCACCUGCUGCCAACAGUCUUUCUUCGGAAUUCUACUGAACGGGUCGAUCCUCCCCUCCGUUUGUUUUAGCAACUUAUCCUAAGGUCUCUUCGCCAAGAACUCUCCGGCAACGACAGAGGAACUAACCUGCCUGCAGUGGCGGGGCGGCUUUUUUUUUAAAUAAGACCUGGACGAUUAUCCCUACCCUCGGUAGCUUACGAGUUUACGUCCAUCCCUGGUCGGGUACAGUUUCCUUUAUUUUUAUCCCUUGUAGCCGUUACCCGAAUUCGCGCAAGUGUGUCCACACCCCCCCUGACUUGACGAGGAAUUCAUUCUCGCGAACAAACACACCCCCUACACACACCUAGGAGCACCCCUUCCUGCAUAUCCAUACAAGACCUGAGUAGGCGGGUCGAGGUCCUACGACGUACCCACUACUCGGAGUACCCUCCCACCAAAAAAAGAUGUGUGGUUCGGUGGUUCGACCAGAAAUGCUAUGCUUACGCACAAGACUACCCCUCUUCCCGAAAGCUUCGCGGGGACCUUUACUACUUUACGACGACGGGGGACCGCCCGUAGGGGCUUUACUGCACAAGGCCCCUGCAGAGGAAAAGCUUGAUCCCAGCGAAUAGAAGAUGCUCAGCUCCGCACAACAUAGGGAUUGGCACGCUUUCGGAAAGAACAUAGAAUAGUAGAGGAUCCAGCAUGCAGGACACGGCGAUCAUUAGAAAUUCACGAAUUAGAAAUGCUGUAAUAUACUCUUUCCCAAAACUUCUCAUACCAGACCAACCCACUGAAAUGCAAAUAGGGAUCAGAAAUGUGGUCAAUAUCACGAAGAAUAAUGAAAGACCGUCUAUACCCAUAUACAAAUGGAUGUUUUCAUAAGGAAGCCAUCGAAGGCUUUCCACAAAUUGAGAUUUGGCCGUAGAAGGAUCGAAUUGUAUCCGAGGAACAGGGGGAUACAAAAAAGUAAUAAGAGAAACGCACAGACCAAUCAAUCGUAUCGGUCUUAUUGAAGAAUUUGGAAUGAAAAGAGGAGUAAUGCUUCCUAGCACGGGACAGAGAAUAGGACCACUUAGAUCGAAAUAGCAUUCACAGAAAUGUUCUAACAUAGAGUAGAAUUGAACAUUGAAAAGAUUAGUUGACAACAGUCAAUCAAAAGAUGGGGCGCCAAAUUACUAAACAAUAGGGGUCUUUCUGUGCAAGUCAGCUGAACACCGUAAUUGAUGAGUGAGUAGGUGGGUUAGGUGCACCCCUCGCCCAGUGGGAAGUCAUGAGGCUAGCCCCCCCCUGAAUGAAGAAGUAGUGGGGCCCCCUGCCCGCCCACGUAUGCGCCUUUAUUUAGAUUCUAACUAAAUAUUAUACUGAACUUUAUCCGGGAAUCUUUCUAAAGAAUCCAUCUGGCAAAACGCAAUUUGUCGAUUUCAAUCUAAGGUGCACCUUGCCUUUUUCAGGUAGCUUUGUUACGCCUAUUCAGCUAGGUGGGGCAUUGGUCAUAGCCGAAGUCGAAGGGAAAAAAUAAGGUAAUGAGAUGAUGGUGCCAUCAAGAAGUUUUCGACGAACGUAGUAGCGGCCAAAAAUGAAACUCUUGCAUGAAAGACCGGAUUUGACGCAAGAUGAAUGGCGUUGGGGUUUUUCAAAUGAAACCCGCGAUCAGAAAGUCACCAACGGAGCCAUACAAUCUAUCUAGUAGUGUGCCAUGGCACGGUACUCCGCUUCGGCAGUGGAAGGAGCAACUGUCUAUUGCUUUUAUCUCAUCCAAGAUAGUGUCUCGUCUCCCCAUAAAAUAGAUAAGCCUGUAGUUGAGCACCUAUCUGAAGGCCCAAUCGGCAUCAGUAGUUGCACGCAACUCUAAAGAAGACGAUGACGGAAAAAAUAGGGUACUUCAUGACUGUCUAAAAAAAGAUUCAUUCCAGUGGUCAGAUGCUCAAAUUGAGGCCUUCACAACAUUGAAGAAUUGUCUGGUCACUGCUCCUGUUAUGGCUUUGCCUGAUUUGACCCUACCAUUUACUUUUUAAACAGAUGCAUCAGGUCAAGGUAUUGGUUCUGUCCUCAUGCAACAAGGCAGACCAAUUGCUUAUUUCAGUAAAACCCUUGGACCCAGAAAUGCAGCUAUGUCAACUUAUGAUAAGGAGAAGCUUUAGCUAUUUUGGAAUCCUUGAAGAGAUGGCGCCACUACUUUCUUGGUUCCCAAUUCUUUUUUUGAUCAAAACUGAUCAACAGAGCCUUAAAUACAUCACAGAACAAAAAGUCUCUGAGGGCAUCCAGCACAAGCUUAUGUGAAAAUUGCUUGAAUUCAAUUACAAGAUUGAAUACAAAAAAAAUAAAACAAGGUUGCAGAUGCUUUGAGCAGAAGAGAUUCUCUUAUGAUGGCAGUCACUGCAGUUACUCCUGCUUGGGCUUCAACUGUAGAAACCAGCUACACUAAUGAUGAUCACUGCAAAUCUCUGCUUGAGAAGCUCACUGUAUCAGCCAAUGCAGCACCCCCUUAUACUCUUCAUUCUGGCAUUUUGAGAUAUAAAGGAAGAAUAUAUGUGGGAUCAGAUGCUGUUCUUAAACACCAAAUCAUUGAUUCACUUCACAACUCUCCCAUAGGAGGCCAUUCAGGCAUUGUGGCUACUUAUCAAAGGGUAAAAAAGCGAUUUUAUUGGCGCCAGGCCAGGAGAUUGAAACUUUUCUACAUGAGUGUGCAGUUUGCCAAAGAGUCAAGGGAGAGCAUUGCCACUACCCUGGUCUCCUAGAUCCACUGCCAUUACCUACUUCUGCUUGGACUGACAUCUCCCUGGAUUUCUUUGAGGGUCUUCCCAAAUCAUUGGGCAAAGAAGUCAUAUUGUUGGUGGUGGACAGGUUCACUAAAUAUUCUCAUUUCAUUCCCCUUGCUCACCCUUAUACAGUACAAUCAGUCUCUCAUGCUUUCAUGGAUAAUGUUUUUAAGUGGAAUGGAUUGCCAAAGUCAAUAGUCUCUGAUAGAAACUGGAUAUUCACAAGUAACAUGUGGCAGGCCUUCUUCAAAGCACUGCAAGUGAAAUUGAGGUUUAGCUCUGCCUAUCACCCACAAUCAGAUGGCCAGACAGAACGUGUGAAUCAGUGUGUGGAAAAUUACUUGCGUUGCAUGGUUUUUCAGCAACCAAGGAAGUGGGCUAGUUUGGAUCAAGCAAAUGCCACUUGGGAGGAUGCCGACUUCAUUAAAGGUCUCUUUCCGGAGUUCUAUACAGCUCCUAUUCGUGGUUGGUGCCCUAAUUCCAACACUUGACAAUGCUUUGGGAGAGGUAUUGUCAUAUCUGAAGAUUACUGUACCUAACUCUCGAUUGAAUUCAGAGUGCUGCCUUUACUUCAUCUGCCGUGAACGGAGCCAAGAGGCUUGCGUUCAUUUCUUCAGUUACUCGCCUGUUUACUUUCCCCAGUAGCCCAGGGUCGGGAGCUAGGACUUCUGAGGUGAACGGUCCCUCAAAGUAACCCUGUAUCAGAGAUGCUAACUGGUCAUUACCUUCGAUCCUGUUGCCGUUUGAGUCAUUCAGAAACUUUAUUAUGUUCUUCUUUUUUCUCCGUUGCAAAAUGAUGUGAUGAAAGAAGCUCGUAUUUCGGUCUCCAUGGCGGAGCCAAUUAGCCCUUCCUCUUUGCAGCCAUUAAUCCGAGUGCAAACUCUCUCAAUUAAGUGUUGGAAGCAGUCGCUCCUAUCCACUCCUACCAGGGAGGGGAGCCCCAAGUAUUUGUCAGUGAGCGAUUCGGUGACAAUAUUCAGCAGGUUGCAUACCUCUUGUCUGUCCCCCCUAUCUGUCUAAGGGUCCUUGGUAAAACUCUCUUCAUUGAAGGCAGUACGUGGGUAUCCAUCUUAUCUACGGUCUGCGGGUCAUCCACAUGACCAAAACAAAGGGUACGAAAGCAGUGAAACCGAUAUAUCUGUUGAAGGCGAUCCCACCGGUCCUAUUUAUUAAGUUGCAAUGGCGAGUAUCUUUGGACCCCAAAGAGUUGUAUAAGUUGGAAAAUGGAGAUUUGCCUGUGACAUUGGCCGUUGGGCAGCUAGCUAUUGCAUUUGAAGGCUCCACAGAAAGAACCCGCAGGUACUAUUACGACAGGUGGCUUCGAAUCCAGUUUGUUAGUCGUUUGCAUCUCGGUUAACAAAAAUAAGCUUGAAUCCCUCCAUUCGUAGAUCAAUCAGCUAAAGUUGUUAAAACAAUGCCCCGGUAAAAAGGUAGCAGAAGGUCGUUCUUUCUUACUCGAAGUUGCACUCAGGUGCUGCCGUUUUAGAGCUAGGCGAUAUUCUCUGUGUAAACCAGUAUCGUAUCUGUUCGAUAUGGACCAUUCUAUAAGUAUAGUCAUUUCAGUCUUCCUCAAAGGAUCUCCGAUCUAUUGUGCAACCUUCCCUUCGAAACCCACCCCACACGAAUACUUCUACCCCUUAUCACAGCUCCAAUGCCCACAGGCAUCUGUCUCUAGCACAAAUCUUUUACUGAAAUUAGGGAGAACCAACACAGGGGCCUCAAUUAAAGCUUGCUUGAGAACAUCAAAGGAUUGCUUUGGCUUGUCCACACAAAUGGUACUCCUUUCUUUAACAAGUUCGUGAGAGGUCUCCUAAUUAUGUAUAUACAGGAUGAGUCACAUCUUGACCGGAGCCAUGCGGAGCACAAAAAGUGAAGAGAAAGGAUUUGUUCACCACUUUAAGCCAAAAGAUAGAAAUGAAAGAUGUUCCCAUAGAAUGAGAUUAGAUCCCGCAAGUGAGCUAUUUAUACCGAAGCUUACAAGAAGCAAAGUUGAAACGGGAGCUUUCCCACCACGGCAUCCAACUCUUCUCUUCCGUAAGCAAAGGGGCUUUCAACGAGAUAGGGAGCUGUACAAUUUCACCCGUGGGUGGGGCUGGCUACGCUUGCUAGAUUGGAUCAAAUAUACGUGUCCUACGCUAGGCGGAAUCGUUGUUUCACUCCUCCAAGCGUUCCUUGCCAAUGGGUAAAGCCUUUAUCUAUCACUUCGGUCGGAGACAUAUUAAUUACCUUUUUUAUCCUGGGACCCUUGAAAGCUCGCUUCCCUUCCUGAACUGAGGGAAACCGGUGCCUGAGAGAUCCGUUAUCUGCAGUCUCUGAGCUUGAUUGCACAUCUUUUCCUGCUCAUACAUGUGUUUUUGCACGCUUGAGACCUCCUCUUUCGCUUGGCUAUCCGAGGAAAGAUGUCUUACGAGGUGGGUUGGACAACGUACGUAGUGAGCCUGCUGCUAUCAGUGUGAAGAUGAGCAUCUAUCUUUCUUUUCAGGAUUUAGUGUGUGUGUGCUUGUUCUUAAGGGAACGUGCAAAUCACCCAAUCAUAUCAGGAUGGAUCCAAUGGGUGUGAUUUUUUUCUGUAUUGAUCACUUACCCACGCUAUAAGAAGAAGGGCGUCAUGGAAGAGUUUGGGGUCCAAAGCCACACCUUCUUUCCCCCAUAGGAACAGAGGUCAGGAGCUGCCGGCAGGGCGCUGCAUUCAAUCUGACUGAUGGCUCAAGAUAAGUACGAGACGUACUUGAGAUAGAUAAUUUAUGUAUUUCGCUAUUUCGAAUACCUAAACUGCUGCUAACAAGAAUAAGUACGGAGAGAUUGGAUCUCCCUGGCGUAGUCCCUGAGAAGGUUUGAAUUCCUCAAGACGCUCCCCAUUGAAAAGAACCGAGAAGGUAACUGAAGUCACUAACCUCAUCACCAUAGAAAUCCCACCUUCGCUGAAAAAAAGUGGGCUGGAUAGCCGUCCGGGCCAGGGGCCUAUCAGGGUACAUCUUAAAAAGGUCACACUUCAGAACCAGUAAAGGGCCCAGUCAAUUGCUCAUUCAUUGCCUGAGAUACUUUUCGAGGAACUGUCGACAGAACGAACAUCCUCCAUUCUUUCAGUACCUUCAGCAGUAUAGAUAUGUUUAAAGAACUCAUUCGUCAUCCCACUCAUCUCCUCUGAAGGGACAACGAAGGAUUGUCUGAAGUAGGACCUAUUCGUAGCUCAUUUCAAAUGGGCCAAAGAAACUAGGGCCACAGAGACCCCCCCCCCUGUGUCAUGAAAAGAGACACUUUCGGUAGUCACAAAACCCUAUUUUAAGAAAUAAGUCAUUAGAUCCCGUAUCAGCUAUAGCAGUGAAGUUCUCAUAAGCUUUCAUCAUGUCGAGCUUUAGUGCACACACCUGAUCAUCUCGUGCCUCUUAUAUAGUUUCUAGUUUAGGAGUCCGAGCUGGAAGAACAAAAGGUGGAGCUCCGCCCUAGUGUUACCCUUUGCCUCGCUCUUUAGAGGCAUGAGUGGUCACAACUCGAUGUAGUCUAGCAGUUCUAUUUGGCGCACGAAUUGCGUAUAGCAAAGUUGAAGAAGGCAUUCUAGGAGCUAAAGGCGUCUCACUCGUCUCUCAUUCGCUCGAUGCUUAAGUACCGGUUUGCUUCUACGUCUACGGUUGAACUUGAAGGCCUCGGAUUCCGAAACCUGUAGAGCUUGCACGGUGAAGAACAAGUACGUACUUCAUACGAAGAAAUGGUAGUCGGACUCCUCUGGUUUUCUCCACAGUAGGAGUAAGCAUAAUCCUAAAGCCGGCCCAAUGGGCUAUAUUUCUUUAGAGUACUCAAAAAGUAUGCUUUUGUCGGAGGGAGAUUGCCGGGUCUAUGUAGAAUAGAGAAGCAGCAAAAGAAAAUAAAUUGAGUAGCCAAAGGCCUCGUGCACAGUAUGGAAGGAAGAGGAAAAAUGCACGGUACGCAAUGUAUGAUGAUGAACGUAUGGAGUUAGUUCGGUGGGUUGGUUGGGGAGUAGGGCCGGGGGGAGAAACUUGUCCCUUCUUGAUGGCGAGUAUAUGCUUCGAUCGAUUCUUGUGCUCCCUAUGCGCGUGUUCUUGAUCACCGAACAAGUUACAAAAUAAGUUUAUGCGCUCCUAUCCUUGUUCUUGUGAGUCCUUGUGAAGCUACAUUGGUGAUGGUUGGUGGUAGAUGCGGAUUACAAGCGAGCUCUGGAUGCUACUCUUAGGGAUAUUAUUACUGUGCUUUUUUGCUAUGGUUAGUCAUGAUUACUGAUCAGUUGAGCAGUUCUUUUGAAUGUACCAAUUUUAUUUUUUCAUUUAUUUGUUUCCCCCCAUUUGAAACAGGGCUCAAGUCGCUUCCUGAGAUGCAUUUCACACCUGACUCACCUCCCACGCCUAAAAUGUCUCCAGGUAAACGUUUUUCUGCUUGUCUAGUAAUUCGGUGAAUCUGCGGCCACUAAUGCCAUUCAGAGACUCUUGGCCAUUUCGGCUUUCGCACCAUAUGAUCCCUGCUCAUCUGCCCACAACAAAACGGAAUUUUUUUAUUUUCACUUGCGGUGUUCUCUCCAUUUCUUGUUAUAUGCUGCUAUAGGGCUAUAGGAAUACAGAUUCAAACUUGAUUGUAUGAUAAAACUGAUUAUUGAUUCAAUUCUUCUACUCGCAGCAUCUGUUCUAUUAACUUGUAACUGCCUACUAAUUACAGUAUCGAGUGUCCUGGUGAUGCGGAUGCUAUAUAUAUAGUCUUCUCAAACUAUGAGUGCAAUGAUCUGUUAAGUUGUAACUGUACCUUCUAGUUUUUUAAUCUGAGCAAUCGUUGAUCAUCUCAUCCAUUUGAUCGUUUGAACACUACACUGGAAUUAAUAUCUUUGCGGAAUCGUUGAUCAUACUUCGUGUGUACUAAUUGAAAUCAGUUGUGCAUGUCCGUGCUGCUGCCGCCCCAGGACAAGUGAAGUGCCCCCGUCAACUAUGGAGGAGCUUUCGACGUCCGUGCCGCGCGAUCGGUCGGGAUCGGUGGCCUUCAGUUCCUGCCGGAUUUCCCUUGUGACGUUAGUCCUCGCAGCAGCAGCUGCAGCCUUGAUCACGUUGCUGUUCUGAUACAUGCUUGUCUGACCUCGCUCUUGAACUUGUGCAUGUCUGCUUCGUCUUUCUUGAUCGGUUCCUCGUGUUGCAUACAAUGAAGUGGUGUCAUGUGACGCUGGGCAUAAUCUCUGAAAACUCCUGACUGGUUCGGUGUGGUUUUGUUUAUUCAACACCAAUUGCCUUAGCUUUCUUUUUCUGAAGGAGACAGAGAAGAGAGUAGCUAGAUUUCUUUUUCUAUUUUGAUUUACAAAUGGUCCGGUUUUAUUUCAAAAUGGUCCGUACUUUUCGAUCUUUGGGCUUAUUAAGCUUAAGAAUCUUACUUAAUAGGAGAAAAUAGCCUCCUAAACAUAUGGCUAGCAACUGGUUCACCAGGAGUACGCAAGAAAGGCAAAAGCACUACGAAUUAUUGAUUUAGGAAUGGGAAUGGGCUAGAACCCUGGGUUCUUCCUUAUAUAAUUAAUGGUCUUUUCAUUCUAAUACUCUAUCCGAGAGUUCUCAGUAUUUAGCAAAGCUGUUCCUAUCUAACGGAUAAAAACAGGACAAAUGACAAAGACAUUGUUUGUGGAGAAAGAGGUGGCUUUUCCCGGAUGAAAUGAAACAUUUGAUUUGUGUAACAGGAGAAAGAUUUCCCACUCCUUAGUCAUAAAGAUAUGUGGCCAUGAAAAAGGGAGGGGAUUCAGUGGAACAGGAUUGGCCGGGCGGUAGAGUCGUGGAAACACUUGUUGAUUCCUAUUUUGGACCCUAGCUCCAUGGAACAAUAUGCUACUGCGGAAACAUGGAAGAAUUGCAAUCUUAGAUCAAAACACUAUGUGUGGAAAGCUUGAUAAGGGUCAGUUACUUGUACAUUUGAUUAGUAUGAGCCACUCACAUCGUUUUUUAAGGAUAGGUGGGAGUAGGACCCUACAAUAAAGAGCAGAUAGCCCACAUGAAUCAUGGGAAUAACAAUACGAGGCCUUUGACGAGUAAAGGAGAAAUGCAAGAUUUGGAUCCGCGAUUUCAACAAGUAGUUCGUGCUUCGUCGGCAGGGGAGACUAUAGGCCAUGAAAACCCACCCCUGGUAUCUCCACCUGUGGAUUGAGAGUCAAAAAGUGUGAAUUUCGUAUGUCCCGCUGGCACACGAUUUCGAUUACUUUUCUUGUUUCCCGUUUCGGAGAUCCGAUAAUGGAAUGCUAAAUCGAUAUCUGGGGUCGAGCCAGGGUACUUAUCCUCCCGUCUAUAAAUCAAUGACCAAUAAAAGACCAAAGCGGUGAUAAAUCAAGGGGCGGACAGGAGCUGCAUCGUAGCUAGGAACAGGUGCUGCACCGUAGCUAGUAGGAAGAAGUACAACAUAGCUACAUUCCCCAUAGGGUCGGCGCCCCUCUUCUCCAAUACAAAUUGAAUCAUAGCAAGGGCUAAGCUAUCUUAAAACCUACUAUCAAUUGAUAAUACAUAAAUGAUCCGGGGCUAGUGUUGGGUAGCCGGGCCCACUAGAAUUCAAGUGCUUCUUAUCGAUUCAAUACGCCCUUAACGGAUCCCCGUGCUUUAUCUCCAUUGGGUGGAGCAAGACCCUUGUCCUAUCUUUUCUUUACAGAGCAAUAGAAAUGAUGGUUGCCCCUCGCUGCACUGACCAAUGAUAUCUCAGAAGAGAGAAAGACUUCUAUAACUUGCCAAUGAUAUCUAGUGGGCACUACGAACUCCAGGCAUACUGUACUUGACCACCCUACUUUGCUUUGUCCCUAUUAGGCGAAAUCAAUACUUACUUUCAAUUGGUAGAGAGGAAGAAGAGAACUGACACUAGUAAUAGGUUGAUGACUUCUCUUAACAGAACUGACACUAGUAAUAGGUUGAUGACUUCUCUGACUUAAUAGCUGGCCGACUUCUCUUCAUGGAUCACCGUUCUAUAUAGUUAGGCGCAGCAUCGCGUUUAACCACCUAUCCCUAUUCCCUCAAUCGAUAUCGUCCAACUAUCCUUUUAUUGGGACAGCAGCAUACUUCUCGUUAGGGACAAUAGUUCCUAUACUUAACUAACCUCUGUGCGCAAUCACUGUUUGACACAUCAUUCUUUCAGCUUUUCGUUCUUGACGACUCUGUUUGACGGAGCCUGACCUUGAACUAGCUUUUUGCAACACAAACCACUAUCUUUACUUUCCUUUAGCAAUAGUAUCUAACUAUCAAUUCAUAAGAGUCAAACGGGUGGGUCCAUCCCAUCUAUCGACAGGUCCUGAUACCGGAUCUGGGAAACAAGCAAUACUCGCCGCAAUUCCUUAAUAAAAACAGACCUAUCUUCUCUUGAAAGACUGUCCUUUCCUCGCUUGUUAUUGUGAUAUCAAUGAAAGAAAGCUGGAUACUGACUUCUUCCCAAGAGCUCUAUCAGCCCUGAAUUCCUUAGCCAUACGACUCUUCCUUAGUUUCCUAAUGCUGGUGGCCCUAGCUAGUGGUGAGACGGGGCAUAUACUAUUCUCGGUCUUAUAACGAAGAGGUUGCCUAGUUUGAACCGAACACUGUACUUGAUCUCUCGUCCUAUCACAAACAAGUCUCUUCCCCCGAGUCCUAGUAGACUAGUCCAAGUAGUCCGGGACAAUAGCGUCCCGUCUCUUCGCUGACCCCUGGCACACAAUCACUAUAAGACAAAGCAAGACAAACCUCUCUUAUCCUUCUCGGCUAGAAGUUACAAGUUUCCUGUUCCGGUUUCGGCUUGAGGGAAGUUCCUGAAAUCGAUUCAAUUCUUAUCUCCGAUUUCGAACUCCGGCUGGAUUCUUAUGACCAAGAGCUAUUUUAUUGGUCAGAAGAAUGGAAGGACAACGAGAAGAUGGUUCGGUUGCUCCUGCUGGAAUAUUCCAUUUAUUUAAUACUCCGACUCGCGUAACCCCGAAUGGCAAUGUUGUUAUUGCGGUUGGUCAGAUCAAUAAGACAACAAGGGAGUCAGAAUAUUCUGAUAAUAGCAAACAGGGCUUUGGAAUCUAUGGAAGGAGCCUUCAAUGCUUCUCCAGUGUCAACCAUUAGUCGAUAACAGAAUGAAAUGCCACAAUUAAGUUGAAAAAGAGAGUCAUUAAAAGAGGCAUGCUUGAAAAAGAGUACAGAUAAUAUGUUAUGGAUGUGAGGAGCCUCACCCAGUACUUUUCUUACUAAACUAAAAAACUCUACUCUCCUUUCACAGCCAACCCACCCAUUGCUUUUUCGAGCUCGAUAAAAAGGAAAGUUCACGUGCCAAUCCUUACCAUUGAUAACUGUAAUUACCAAGCCUAAUCUUUCACUGAAUACCGAGUAAAGCAAGCAAGAAAGAGGGAAGGAGCAGCUGUUUUUGAGCUAGGCUCGAUCCCUUUUUCAUCCACUUCUCGCUAUUUGUAAUUCUACUUGAAUUAGUUCUUCCUAAGUUUAGUGAGGUGAGUACUGCAUCCAUAACUAGAGGACUUGCUUUUCUGCUUGGCUCCCAGGGGAAGUUGGAUUGGAUAAGAGGAAUUGAAGCGCAAGGAAGGCAGUCGGUAUUCAAACAACUAUUCAGAGUUCCCAACUCUGGGUAAAGGAAAUCUGUACUUGACGACUGAACCAAAUCCUUUGCCUUUAUUUAUUCUAUUAUUUUGAUAUAGAUCAGCUGAAAACAAAACAAAAAUACUACUACGUUGGGACAAUGACCCACCUUUCUCUACUCAACCUGUCAUCUUCUCUCCUCGCUCCCUGGGACAAAUAAGACUAUUUAUUAAGUGAUAAACAAGAGAAACUAGUGAUAUUAUCUAAGCUUCUGGCCAUGUCUGAUUGGCAUUCAAGUCUGCCUUCCAUUGCUUGAAAAGGCCUAGCACCGUAAGUAGCAAUUGGCUAUGUCCAAACUCAAACGUCGUAUUUUAUCUAAGCACAGGAGUCGUAAUAAGGAAAGAAGACAUAAGAAUGGGAAGUAUCCGCUAGUUAUAACGUAGUAUAAAGAGAGCUAUUUCAUGGAUCUUGGUCACAAUAAAAAGAAUCCAAUAAUGAUCUAUCAACUAAAUGAGUUUAUUAUAUAAUCCCGUAUCUUCAAGGUUGUUAAGAUGAUUUAGUAGAUGUGUCAGUAUCGUUUUCAUCUGCCGUUGGGAGUGACUGCUUUGCUAAUCUAUCCUUUUAUCCUUCUUUUCGGAGACAAGCACAUAUUACCGUAACCUAGUGAUUAAUAUAUCCUGUUGGUACUACUUCGUCGAGCAAUCAAUCCUUUUUCCAUUCUUGUUCUGAGGUUGUCAGCUUCCUCCGAUGGCACCACUUGUACUCUCUGUCGGAAUCUGUAGACAUAGUUUCUGGGCGUCUUUAAAAACUGAUCGACAUAGUUGUCACACACAAACCUGCGCAACGGCUUUGGAGUAAAAGAAUCUCCUGCCCGGUCACACACAUCAUCUCGAGCGCGGAAUCUACUACUCUAACAAGAUACUCGGCUCGGGUAAAUCAUGCUUUCGUUAUGCGAGGAAAGUGAAAGGAAAGAGGGAAAGGGAGACACUGGGCAAUCCGGAAUCGAUGAAAUCACUGUUUUUUCGCCUUGUAAUAUGUCCGGUUACAUUCCAAAGAUGAAUCAGACCAGGAGAUAGAUAAGCGCUAUGGCGGACACAUGAAAUAAGAAUUUGAAAAGUAAUGAUCAACUUUAUGGAUCCAUAGGUAGAUUCACUUGUGAAGCUAUGGGAUGGGACAAGAUUCAAAAGUACCAAAAGUAAGUUAAAUGGGACGCUGAGUUCAUUGCUGCGAUCGAGGGUCCAAAGCCAGCCAAUUUGAUGACCGCGUAGGAACGGGUUCCGAAUGCUCACAAUAAUGUAGUUGGAAAUGACAAAAGGCUCCUAAAUUGAUACCUAAUAAUAGCUUAGCAGCUCCUUCGUUUUACUAAAGAGCCAAGUUCGGACAAGCAACUCGGAAGGAGGAAUGUGUUGAGAUGCCUAUGCCUAAGAGAGAUAAGCGGAGGACGUAUGAUAGCCGAGAGGAUGUCGGUAAACGACGGAGUUUAAGGAGUUGUUUUUGAAUUCGGCAUGGCAUAUUUCAUUUUUUUUAAUGAGAACGUCGUCUCCUUGCUUACCCGCCUGGCCAAUGGAAGGAAUUAAUUACCUUGGUCAGUCAGCGAAAGAAAGAAUUGAUCCAGUUCAUCAUCCCAAUCCUUCCUAUUAGUUUCAUUAAUGAAUUCAGCCCCAGAGUGUUGGCAAUCAAGGGCCAAGAAAGAAUCCCAAGUCUAUCCUAUCUCGCCACGGUCGAAAGCACAAUCCCUUUCUCUUCCUAUACCGAAAUCGUCGUUUCAUUCCUCCGCAACUUCUAUCGCGGACAUGAUCCAAUCUACCUUGCAAGACAGAUUAAGAUAUAACUUAAGGCUUUCCCAAGCUGGCGCAUAACCUCUGGUAGAGGCAUUCACCCAGAGACAGAGAAGUGGGAAACCGCGGAUGAAAAUAAUACCGAGGUCUUUGAUAGCAAACUUCUACGCGAGCUUUCUAACUAAAAGGAAUCUCUUAUUCAUAUGGCAUAAAAUGGAAAAACUUGAUGGAGAUUUCUUCUCAAUUUCCAUGGUACAGUCCCUUUGCAUGCUACAGUCCAUUACUUACUACCUGAAUUUGCUAUAUACGAAAUUAUGACAUCUACGGUACUUGUCGUCUACUUCUGGUGGAAGCAAUUCCAAAGGUGAAGAUAAUACUGAGCCGAAUAGUAAUGAGGGGAAUGCAAAAUCUAGCAAAGGUAAGAAGGGUCAAGGAAGAAUAGCAGUGACUUAUAAAAGGAAAGCACCGAAUAAAAGGAAGGAGAUCCGUCUUGAUUUUUUGCAUGUGGUCAAUGCGUUUGCUGAUUGAUAACUGUCUAAUCUUAAGAUGGUUUUGUGGCACGUUACAAACAUACAUAUACAGUCGAAAUAUAGUUGUGUUGAGUUAGGUUGAAGAAUUUUUACCAGAUUUUUCAAAUGAGAUAUAGUGCUUUCUUUGUUCGGUAGGAGAUUUUGCACUUUCAUAUUCUAGUUCCUCAUUUGAGCGUUCUUUUGCUCUGUUGGUGGGGCAUAAACUCAUAAAUAGUUUUUGUUUUUUCUUUAAAUAAUAGUAAAAGUAUGCAUUCAAGUAGUAGCUUUUUCUAAAUAGUCGAGUAAAGUCGAGUAGGGCUGGCAACAAGGACUAGGAAGAUACGGGCUAGUUUGUUUUUUUAGGGGAAGGCUUUAUGCAAGAUAUGCACGUGAGUAGGUCAGUAUAUGCGUAUUUGCCAAUAGAGGAAAACACGUAGUAAGUAGGCUUGCUUUUUCGUAGGGAUAGGUAGCUUGACAAGGGAUGCCUGGGAUAGCACAUAGGAAAAGUAUAGAAGGAAAGGCGGCGGGAAAGUAGCCAUGGUCAAGGUAAACAAGUACUAGGUCUUUUCUUUCCGAAGCAAGUCAAGGACAACUAGGUCAGUCUGGGGGGGGCAAUCCUCUAGAUCGAUACUUCUCUUCCACAGACUAAACCAAUUAAUAAACAAUUUACAGAGUAUUCUUGCAUUCCUAUCUGGUCUGCAUCUCUCCUAUCGAAACUAUAAUAUAACCUUAAUGGAAGGGCCCUGGUUCUGCCUUGCCAAACCGACAAAUCCAGAAAUUGUAGAUGAAUUCAUCGGGCUUAACGUGUGAUUUCGUUAUAAUUGAACAGGCGUCGUCGUCCAGCCGUGUCGAGUUGGGAUUAGAGGAGAGAGCUCGAAUGGAUAGGUCCAGUGAGGCGGGUGUGGAGCACGAAGGAUUAAGAAGGUCCUCUUUAUUUCCGGAAUCAACAAGAAAGACUUAGCAGCCCAAAUAAAGUAACCCUUUACCCCUCCCGAGUCUAUCGUAUCCAUAGUUUCAGUGGGUAUCGAACUGCGAAGCGAGGAAGCUAUUUCAAUUGAACGGGCUUACUUUCUUAGUUGGUUCUUUUGUAGAACAACCUUGGUAUGAAGCUAGACGAUUCAAACUAUAUAAGCAUAAGCAAUUCAAACUAGACAUUUCGACCUUCAUCCCACCCGAUAAAUAAUAAGCAAAGAGCUCGUAAGUCGGGCAUAGAGAAAGCGACUCCUGAGAUUGAGGGGGAUAGGAUACUAUCUCCUAGCGCAUAUAUGAAACGAUAGCUGGUUUUCUACCGGGGGGGGGGGGCUUUCGAUUGUAAUUUUUACAAUUAGUAGUUCUUGCUUUCAUAAACUCAUAGUUAGUGUAGUUUGGUGUAGUCUUUUUUUCCGGGACGAACUGGAUUCGAACCAGAUAAGAGCCGUGCGUUCCCUUCUUUCCAAGCGUCCCUUUGGUUUCGCAGUUCCUGAAGAGAGGCAACCUCUAUCUCUUUCUCUACAUCUGCGGGCCGGUAGGCCGGCCAACUAACUCUUCAAAUGAAGCCCUUUAUCUUUCUAACGAAAAAGAGAAUGAUGAUGAUGGCUACCAUUCAUUCCUCUAAAAUGUUUUAGUCCUGUUUUUGGUAGCAUACCGAUCCUUCCAUGUUUCUAGAAUAGCAUUUAUCUGUCUGGAGUCCUGCGACUCCAAAUGAAGUUUUAGUUCUAUCAAAUCCUCCAAGCAAUUGAUAUUCUUUGCAUUACUAUGCAUGAUUUGCUCUAUUCGAUCUUGAUAGCCUGGCAGAUUCCCAGGAUCCGAAAGGACACCAUCGGGAAAAGGCUUUUGCGAUCCUAAAUAAAAUAGUAAUGCCCCAUUCAAACUGGUAUUUAAUUGGAGCAUACCCAGAACGGCGUCCUUAGCAUUACUGUCGGGAUCGUCAGCUGUUGGCGGAGCUGGAUAUUUUUCUCGGAUUUCAGCUAGGGUUCUAGCCAUACUUCUUCGGAAGAGCGCGCCCUCAAGUUGUUGGUGGAAUGGAUUUGCUUCGGCCGGAGUAGAGUGGAAAUCUACUGACGGACGAGGCUGUUGCUCUACGCGCGGCUGUUCCUGCUCGAGCUGCUCAUGCUCGGGCGGCUGUUCGUUAAGGUCAAAGUCAUUUCUAUUCAUGAAUGAGACCAAGACCCCUGCCUUGGAGGUUUCCUCCUCCGAACGCGAAGGAGUUUCAAGCCCCCCUGUGCCCACGGUUGCACAUCGCUCCUGCCCCCAGAGGGCCGGUACCAUUUCUUCAAUCAGCGUGGCACCAUAUAUCAAAACAUAUUGUAAAAGUGACAGAAUCACUUCAAGUAGUGCUUGCCUAACCUGAUCUGUCACGAUCAAGGAGGGAUCUACUACUAAAGCAGCUAUCACAAUGAUAACUAUGAAAAGUCCCCCCCAUUGAUAAAAACCAGAAUCUGAUGAUAGAUCAAGUCUUACCGAAAUUGGAUUUCCUUUUCGUGCCAUAUGUCGCUUAGACUUUACUUUUUCCCCCUCUGCCCUUUCAAAAGUGGUUACUCCCGAUCCGAAGCACCCCUUUUCCAUUCAUAGAGAGAUCCAAUCGUCAAAAUCAAUAAAAAGGCCAUCAUCGACCAAGAGAACGAGAUAUUGACUUUUUUUACAUCUGUAACUACAUUCUCACAUUUCUUUUUUGAUCUCAUGACUUUUUAUGCGAUCGGAAAACGAAUGAGAUCAGAAAGGCCAUCAUUGGGGCAAACAAUGCAAUAGCUUCGGUGAGAGCAAAGCCCAAAAUGGCAUAACCAAAUGAUUGUUUAGCCAAUGAUGGAUUUCGCGCCACGGAAUGAAUCAAAGAACUGAGGACGUUUCCAAUACCGACAGCAGCUCCGGCUAAAGCAAUUGUAGCAGCUCCGGCNNNNNNNNNNNNNNNNNNNNNNNNNNNNNNNNNNNNNNNNNNNNNNNNNNNNNNNNNNNNNNNNNNNNNNNNNNNNNNNNNNNNNNNNNNNNNNNNNNNNUUCUACUUCCGUGCCGGAGGAAAUGGGAUUCGAACCCAUGAUACAAUCUUCUUGUAUGUCGAUUUAGCAAACCAAUGCCUUAAGCCACUCAGCCAUACCUCCAAGUUGUUGAUCGGAAUUGGAUGUGCCGGGUUGGUUGCCCGAAGAUCCACUGCGUAAGCCGUAGCGCGCGUACUCUUCUUUACUGAGCGAGAAAGACUCUAUCCAGAUCUAUGGAUCUCCCCAGCGUCCAAGCGAGACCCCAUCCAAACCAAAUCCGCCACUCGUUGGGCGAGGCCUUGCUUUCUAUGAACACCUCACCACUGAAUGAGAAACUUAGCCUCCGACCCGACCAAGAGAGAAGACAGGGUCAAGCCGACGCCGCCCUUCCUCACCUGCCUGAAUGGAAUGAAUAUCUCCUUCGUCUAGUCGAGAAGGGAAAAAGCCCGGCGGGGAACAGGACCGUGACUCUUCUAAACCAUUACAUGACGAAGAAGUCCAUUCUCGUCAUGAUCGAUCCACGUCCUACCAUAGUGCCCGGAGAACCUGCUUCUAGAAGAUUCUAUAGUGAUCCACUAGAAUCGGCCUCGGGUGACGCCUCCCUAGUCGUCGAAAGAUUUCAUCCCUCGCUCGGUCGUUAAGGUGGGGUGAAAACUGCAAUUAAUGCUCUAUCUCCGUCAUAGAAUAUGGGAUACUCACUUUCAAUGGCCUCGCAUCCCCAGAGCCUCAGACUGGCCUGCCCUUCCAAUCGGGGUUAUAACGGGUCCGGUAUCAGCAACACCAGCCAAUCGUGUUGGUACGGUGGGUUCCCCAUACCCACUAUUCGGAAAAAAAGCUUGCCAUAGCAGCUCAAACCUCCGAUCGGGAAAUGGGACUUCUAACCGGUCCUAACCCCAAUUCCAAACAAAUUGAUUGGACCGAGGUUCGUGCAGGGAGAGAAUAGAAACUAAUAACGAUGGAGCAAGAAAACGGAUGCGCUAACACGCAACGGCUUUCGCGCUAGUUGCUCAAUCCGUUGCUUGUUUGGUUCGAGGUUGAGCUCACCCGCCGCCCUACGUCAGUAGUCUUCCUAACUUCUAUUCCCUUUUUUUUGCUCUAAGGUAAGGUCCUUCAAGAACAGCAUUGCGGUCGCAACGGGGCUCUGGGUGAAUAUUGUCCGCCCGUAUGAGCCGGGCUGUGAAUAUUUAUAGGUCGGGGUCUUUACUGAAAAACCACAAUACUACACUACAACAAUUUGAAGAAAUCCGCAAGUGACUCUAAUUUGAAUUCACUAGUCGUGUUGAGUUUUUUUUUAUUUCAAUAUAAAAAAUCUGCCAAUCCCGAUAUUCCCACAUUUCAUUCUGGUCCAGUGUCCAUUCCUGAAUGAAAGAAAUGAGCUUUGCCCCUUCACUCACUUCUGAAUGACUCCUUUAGCACUCUCUUUUUUAUAUCAAAAAAUAGAAACAGUUUACCUUUACCAUACCUUCCAAGCAAGAGUGUUUUAUUGCAAGAUUAAGUUAUUACUGAACAAAGAGAAAUUCUCAUUAUAAAGGAUGAGAGAAAUUCGGAAGCACUUUUUUCUUAUUCUAGCAGACGGAAUUGAAUUGGUCUAAUUUAGGACUUUCCAAUCGAUUUUUAUCUUACCUAAUUCUAUCUACGCCCAGGGGGUAGGUACGUCGCAAGCUCUGGGCAGCUAUCUUAUUCCAAAGAAUCUCGCUCCCUAAAAGGUUGCCGAUACCAUACCUCUAUUGAACCCUACUGGAUCCAAUUGUUUAAGUGUUUAGUCGAGAGGAACCACAUUGACACCAUGCUUGUGCUAAGCCACAGCUCCAUCAAACUAAUCUGGAUUUCUUCUUGUUUACGAAUAAUGGGGCAUCUGCCUAACCCUAUCAAACCUCUCUGCAACUACUUCUCUCUGUUCUCAGCAGCCCGAAGGAUUUUUCUAGUCUCAAAGUCCUAUUAGAACUCCCGCGCUUGCUCCUUUGGAGCCAAAUGGAUCCGAAUUUCGGUAAGAUAAUACAAGAAUCGUAUUUGGUUGGGUUCUAACUCUGCUGUUCAGUCUGGCGCGGGUGUGAUACCGGUGAAGAAGCGAGUAGUUGACAGUCAGGGAAGUAGAUUCCUUUAAGGAGAGAAAUUCAUUGGUUUAGCCGUUAGGCGGAGCUUCUUUACACGCCGGUAGCGGAACAGCCCAGGCAGCUUAACGUGCUCUUGGCACAAAGGUAAUAGAAUGGGAGUCUGACGACACCCGGUACUCGGGAUCUCCUGCUUGAAGAAGCAAGGAAUUUCAAUUACUCAGCCGUUGAAUAAAAUAAACUAGAUACCCAUGUUUCCAAUAUUUACUUCUCUUUACUUGCAGGACCUGGCCUAAGCAUAAAGUAGAUUUGCUGCACAAGCUCAAGUGGAGGAGGAAGCAGGGGUGGCGAACAAAAUGUUGGUAUGGAAGAUCUCUUGCUCCCCCCCUGAAGGGUUCUUAGAUUACCAAGUAAGGGAGGGAGGUAGGUACCAUGGUUUCCUUCUUUUAUUGAAUACCAGUAACGCGAGUAAACAUUUAAGUGAGAAGUUAGGUAAGCGUUGCCAACGGCCAAAGCCUUUAAUCUUUACUUCUUGACUAUAGUAAUAGUCAAUAAUGUCACUAGAUUUCGGCAUAAAUACUAGCCAGGUACCAUUUCCCAAACUUGAUUUCCUUUUUAUGCACCUGUUUAUGCACCUGGGUCAUUGUUCACGAACUAAGACGGCUUAGCCGCCUUUCUUUGGGCCGUAUGAAGGAAGUACUUCAACGAAUGGGUAGGUUGCCAACCCAACAUUAUAGGCGGGAAGUUCUCCUUUCUCCAAGUAUGCUCAUUAGACCGAUAGGUGAGUAGCUAGUAUAGUAGUAGCCAAUACUCAAAACCGAUAGUAGAAGGGUCGGUGGAUGGCCCUUGCGAAAGUGGCCACGCCGCAUCCCUUCAGUAGCCAAUCCUUUUUCUCAACGAUGCAGUUCGCUUGGAACAUGGCACAAGGUGUGACGUUCCGAGCGGUGGAGGACAACCUGUUUGUUGUUCCAGUUUUCUGCCUUGGCGACUGGCAGAAGCUCAUGGAAGAAGGGCCGUGGCUGUUCCGCAACCAUGGCGUGUAAAGAAGCCUUACGACGGGAUGGCUAACCCGCGAUCUGUGGUUCUGAACCAGAUUCACGUCUGGUCGCAGAUUCAUAAGAUCCCGGAACUGUUCCACCUGGAAAACCUGGUGCGGGAUCUGGCUAAUAAGAAGCAACAAUAGAGAAUCUCGCCUAGCUCGAGGCUGCGCCUCAGUGCCCUCUGUAAGUACUUUCUAGUAAAAAGAACUACCUUUCAAAGCACAUACCAUUAUGGCUAGCUAAAACGAAAGAAUGAGAGUACAAGGUAUGGGUCUACGCUUCCAGCUUGCUCUAGAAAAACGGAAAUUGGAUCUCUCUCUGGUGGGAGCCUGGCAGCGGGGAAAACGGCACCUGCAGGGGUCCAGGUCUCCAUGAUGAACAACCACGACUUUGAUCUUAACGAGCUGCCGCCUGAGCAUGAGCAGCUCGUUCAGGAGCAGCCACUGUUGAAAAUAGCGAGCCUCUAGAGGAUGACGCUGAUACAUCAUUUGAUUUGUUUCGGGAUGCAGAAGAACAGCCUGAUGAGUACAAUUAUGAUUAUGAUGACUAUGUUGAUGAAUCCAUGUGGGGAGAUGAGGACUGGACAGAACAAGAACAUGAGAAAGCGGAAGAUUACGUGAGCAUCUAUGCUCACAUCUUGUCCACCCCAGUAAGUGAACCUUUUGUAUCCUUUUGCUUAUAUUUUGUUGUUCGUUCUGUAAAUGACCUUGAGUUGUUUUUCACAUUCUUUCUACAGGUAAUUGCAGAUAUUGACAAAGAUGGUGUACAUGAAAUGGUGAUUGCACUUUGACUCAAAAGCACUAUUCGAUAAGACGCAGUAGAACUGUGCACCCGUUUUUGUUUGAGUUUGAGGCGACCUAUACUAAACUAUAAUAGCAAGGAGAGACAGCAGCUGAUACCAGAUCAUACUACAGUACAGCUAGUGCGUGCUAAAACCCUCCUUGUGUACUAGGCUUAUGAAUAAACUAAACUGUUGAGACGUCUCUAGUGUAGGUGACAGGGAAGCCAUGCUCGUUAGAAGAGAAAACAGAUGGUUUGAGCAAGCAUGGGUUCAAGCUCUAGUGGAUGGGUUUGAUAGCUGAACGCAAGGAUAAUUCAUCUACGUAGCUAGUUGGUUAUGGUGGCGGAGAAGCCCCUCUUUAGCUAGAUUGGGCUCCUUUACUACUUUAUUUAACCCGGGGUUAUGCCUAAAACCGGUAUCUUAUGCGUGUUCGACUAGUUCCAUUUCUGAUUCUCCUUCUUCGCUGGGGUCUACAUACGAAAGAAUGGAACACUCGACAGCUUCGAUACUCAAAUAACCAGCUCAUUAUGCUUAGGUUGGGUUAGGAAAACGAAGCUUUCCAAGGGACUAGUUCUUUCACGCAUCUAUUUCUCCAUCCGUUCUCUUCACAUAAGAAGCCAGCCGCCUACUCCUACUAUUGGGUCGGUUGGUCGGUCAAGUGAACCACGCCUAGCAGGUGGGUAUGCCGAUAAGAUUCCUUUGUUCGACGUACGUCCAUAUGAAGCGAGCGCUUCAAAACAAGGCUAUUAUGCUGAAACUAGGGCUCCCUCUGGACGGGUAGAGCGAGAGGGAUAGCAAGGACUUGAAAAGGGAAGGAAGGGUCUUAGAACUACUGAAACAGUAGUAGAACUCUUCCAAAAUCCAAAUAGGAGAGUGAAAAACAAAAAGAAGACCAUUGGGUUGGGGAAGACUCCCUCAAUCACUCUGCUGGGCGAUGCUUCUUACUCUACCUUUCAAUUCCUUUGCCUUUCUUCUUCUGAUCGAUCCAAUGGUUCGGACUAGGACGCGUAAACCCCGAAGGGAGAUUGACCCUACCUAAGUAUUUUCUUAGAUAGAAGUGGUUGGUCAAGUGUGAGUCACGCCGGGGCGGGUAGACCCACUUUUAAUAGCAACGCCCAGAUCAAUGGAAAAUGGAAGUUUCUAGAAUUGCUGCUCUGUUCUGUUCAAGAAGUCUUUCUCCAGGGUUCGGUUCAGAAGGCGGGAUGGAAGAGAGAGAAUGGGCUCAUCGUGCGACAAGGUCGAUCGAUCACUCAAACUGUUCGGUAUCUCUACAAUUGAGUGAGCUGUGUUGCGAAGGAAAAUGAUGAAAUUGCUUACUUUUCACAGGCGUGAAUUCUAUCUUCGAUUAGAUAGUUUCCAUGCUUUUGAUAAAAAGAUGGGUUGGUAUCUGAAUGAAAGUCGGUAAGCAAUCAAUCUAGUGCUGUCCUCGGCAGACCAGGAAAUGUAAUAAACUUUGGAGCCUCAUCAUUGGAAAGAUUGACAACUUAACGGUCUGAAAAACUAUUCAAAGAGUGACUUUUAAGCCCCACUGGUUCGCUUUAUUUUCAGCGGACAUUUCCUCCCUCGUCAGCAGCUUCAUUACCUGCUAAGUCUGGAAGGGUAGUAAAAUCACUCACAACAAUCAAUCUUUUCUUAUGAUACUGAUACGAUGCAAACGGUGACACCCCCGGAUAAUGUGUCUGUGCAUUUGUGUCUGUCUUCCCUUAGAUGUGAGGAAUCGAAUCUCUAUUGAAAUCUGGAAUCACAAGGUAUCCUUUCUUUAAAAACACAUGAACGGGCGCCCUGAAUGAAUAAGAAAUCGCUGCUAUAACAGAGAGUUGCCCCAGAUCAUACAAUGUGGUUCUCUACUUUCGGCUGGCUGGUAGAUCAGCGUAUUUAUACGAAAGAGUAGACAAAGGUUCUGACAGGGGUAACUACUACCAAGAAGCGAACUCAGAGAGAUGAAGAGAGAGAAGUUAGACGCAACCGAUCAUCGGAGGAAGCAGGCUUACAAGAAACUGAUGGGACGAUCGGAAGAAGAGAGUGAUAACAGGUUUCUAGUUGACAACCUUCCGCAUUUCUUAUUGGGAUAGAUUUCAUACAUUCCUAUUUCCUUUACCCUCCCAUGAGGAAAAGCUGGUGUGAUUAAGGUUAUCUAAAGAAAAGCUCAUAGUGUUAUGCCUUGUAGCUUAUUCCACUCUCUAUAGUAGUUCCCUUCGAUUCAACGCAGUGAAGACAGUUUCAUCGGGUCGAUGGACCCUUGGUUGUUUUUGUGAUAAGUCGCUAUUAUCAAAUAAAUAGUCAUUUCUUGCUCGAUUCGAGAGGUGAUUUCAUUCCACAGUGACAAUUCAUGUUGAACGCGUCCUCCGGCAUUUACGAUUCUUCCUACAGAGGGCACUACUGGCAAAGAAUAACCUUUCCACCCGGCGAGAAAAAGAGACAGAGGUUUGCACUUGGUCCUCUUGGUUAGGAUGUAGAGGGGAUCUAUCAACAAUCCCGUCGUCUUCUUCCAGCUUUUUCCUCUGAAUUUGAUAUACUUCAAAAACGAAUCACUCUUUUCAGUAUGAAUGGCUCACUCUCCCAUUCUUUCCGGCUAGGGCAGCAGCUAGACCCAUAUCUUUUGAUGGAGAGCAUCGAUCGAGAUCCUUCGGUGAAAGCUAGAACCAACUCUGCGAGGAAAGCGGAAGCAAACAGUUAUGAUGUGGUUGAUAGUGUUUUUAGGGAUAACCUAAGUCGGCGUUACCCGACAUAGUCAACGGGGUACCUUCAUUCUUUAACAAUUCCGGACAUAGGAACAAUGAGCUGUCUCCACGGCUUCUCUUCCAAACCAAUAUCGCAAUGGAUCUAUCUUCAGCUUAUUCUCUCAAUCAAUGAAUGCGGGUCAUCGUGGAGAAUCAGGAGAAGUGUAGACUAUAAGUAGCCAAUUUGCAAUUCAUUUCCUUGGCAAUGACGAGUGAUGGUAUCUCGAAGCCAUUCAUCUUAUCUCUGCAGCAGGAGAUUCUUCACCGGACAAAAGAUAAGGAAAAGACAAAGAAAUCCCAUGGGUAGUUUUUGGAAAAACCUAUUCUGUAGGAGAGAGAGGCCUACCUAUGAAAACUAGUAUGUAUCUUUUUCUUGGUUUAAGCAGUGCAGGAAAUUGUCGGUCCUAAAAACAAUGUGUCCCCAUGAUCAUUUUACAUCACGAUAUCUUUUUCUUCUGGUUAUGCGUUUUCCUCUUCACUUUUAUUUUUAUUUAUUUGAAGGAAUCGUCCGGGCAGAAACGGGGAAGAAUCUCUUCUGUCGUAGAGGCCUCGUCGAGUGCUUCCGCUACGCCAGGAGAUGAUGAUCCACGAAAAAACAAAGUGGGACGUCAAUACGCCGAUGGAAAAGAUGGGUUUCGGUCGGAGCCAUCCGCAAGCCGCACCCCGCCCAACCCAGAAGUACCCUCCAUUUCGUUGUUGAAAAAGCAAAUAAAGAAUGUUCUGAGAUCCUGUCGAAAUCGUAAGCUGCCCGAAACCAAAUUGGAAGAAAUUUACAGGGAUCUUAACCUGGAAAAUGCGAGCUAGGAAAAACGGGUAAAAAAAACCAGGUCCUCGAGGGCAUUUCAAGGCGACGCCUUUAUUUUUUAAAUAACAUGAAGGAUAAACCCCAUAUUGACUUAAUUGUGAAAGUCCACGAUUGGGAUCGCGCACGAAAUAGAAAUUUACUUGUGUAGGUUUCUCAUAGCAAAUAGAGAAACCGAGGCCCCUACUUACCUACCGGGUAGGUGGGGGGGAAGAAGAGUGGGAACGAGGGCUUCUUUCACUUGUUUGUUUUCCUACAACGGUAUCUCCGAACUCAACGGCUCCCACGAUUCGGAGCGAUAGCGAAUUCAUACGAGGACUACGAAGCGAAUAAUUGCAUUCCUUCCAGGAGGUCGAGCGCACGCUUUCCUCGGUUUCGAAUCAAGGGACAAAGAUAGAUCCUCGGUAACGGCAAAGGGGAUAGCCUUGCUUUUGAACAUUCAUGUGCAUAUAUUUUCAUUAGAUGUGCAAUCGAAAUCAGUAGGAGAGAAACUUUCAUCCCUAUAUUUCCACUGAAAUGGAAUUAGCGAUACCUUUGCUUUUAGUUUGAAUUCAUGAAUCCUGUUUCUAGUGGCGAGUAACUACUACGAAAGGUACGGAAAACGGGAAAGGCAAAGCACAGGAAAGAAGAAUAUAUUCAAUAAUGUCAUCCUUGUUUCGGUACCGGAUUCAACUUGUCGAGGCUUCUGCUCGUAACGUCACUCACUGGAUCAAAUCAAAGGGCUCGGUUUCUGCUCCUCGGCAAAGGCAAAGUCAAUUCAAUAGGAAUCCGAAUCCUAAAAGGCAAGACCCAAACCACCGGUCGAUCAACAGUUCUUCUUUCACUUCCAUCUCUUGAUACCUGUUUUCUUGCUUUUCUUACCACUGCUGUAGUGAACCGCAUCUCUAAGCACCGGGAGUCGUGAACCGCGCACAAGGUCCUUCUUAAACUAGAAAUAAGUGAAAUAAUUGUUCUGGGUCACCUUGGCUUUUGUGUUCAGUAGUUAGUAGGGGAAGUUGCCCGGCUUGGUAUCUCUCUUCCCUGUAGAAAACCAAUCACAAGUCCCUCCUUAUUUUCACUCAAAAAAGCUGGAAAAAAGAGCAAAUCUCGGAUAGCCUAACUUGUUUUUUUGCCCUGGAAAAGGCAGCUACUAUCCCUGCUGGAUUUCCAGAAAACGGAAUGUACCUAGGGAACCCUAUUGAUCAGAUCAGAGACUGAACCUAGUGAUCUUUCUCCUGCUGGCAAGCAUCGAUACCUGUCUCCUAAUGAAUUGAUCUUCUCUUGGGCUCUGAUUCACACAAUCGGAAAGCCCUUGCGAUGUGGGUCACCCUUUUCCUCUAUACAUCUGUUCAGCAAAGGGGGCUUGCUAUUCUCUGCAAUUGAAGGUUGGGCCUACAUAUCUCUUAUUUGUGUGGAUCAACCAUCCAACCUUUCUUCUUUCUUUCCAUAAAAGCGUAGGUAGAAUGCGUAUAGUAAUGGUAGAGCUGAUGUAUGGCUAAGCAGGGCUGAUGGAGCUCUUGGAAAGAAGUCAGUAUCCAGCUUAUCCCUAGUCUAGCACUCUGCUGUGAAGUCAGAAACCCAUUAACAAGCAAGGCUGUAGUGAACCUCUUCCUUAAGGGAUUGUGGAAUGCACACAUCCCGGAAUACAGUUGGGUGAUCCAUUAAGCUAAGCAAGAGCUAUGAACAACCUAGUGACGCGGUGGCAAGCAUCGAUACGAGGAAGGUGAUAGAUCAGAUACGAUUUCCUUCAUAGGAUACUCUUUUUCCUUCGGAUUGUGGAAUGAUAGGAAGGGCCUAAUAGUAGUGAUUUAGUGCGAUGUGAGGUGCCCCGCGCGUGAGACUUUCUGAGGUUAAGAAAAUAAUAACAGGGCGGCUUUCUUAGACUCGGCUCUAUAGCACUCUUUGAGUAAGUUCGUUAACGAGGUAGCAGUUCUACACGAAUGAAAACAGACCUAUCUUCUCUUUCUUGGGCGGGGCACCAAAUUCAUGUAUCUUUACCAAUUAACCAAUUUCUUGACGCUGGGGUGGAUCCUAAAGAGAUACCACUUCCUCAUGAAUUUAUCUUGAAUCGGGACCUUUUGGCUCAACUUUAUCCUAGUUUUGCCGAAGGAGCAACCCCUUUUUUCACUUUAAAUUGGUCCAAAUACGCAGAAUUUCUGACUUUUCGCGGAGGACUAGAUCCAGUAACCGGUGGUCUCUGGCUGACCGAUAUUGCGCACCAUCAUUUAGCUAUUGCUAUUCUUUUCCUAAUCGCAGGUCAUAUGUAUAGGACCAAUUGGGGUAUUGGCCAUGGACUUAAAGAUAUUUUGGAGGCUCACAAGGGCCCAUUUACAGGACAAGGCCAUAAGGGUCUUUAUGAAAUCUUAACAACGUCAUGGCAUGCUCAAUUAUCUCUUAACCUAGCUAUGCCAGGCUCUACAACCAUUGUUGUAGCUCAUCAUAUGUAUUCUAUGCCUCCCUAUCCAUACCUAGCUACUGACUAUGGUACACAACUUUCCUUGUUCACACACCACAUGUGGAUUGGCGGAUUUCUAAUAGUCGGUGCUGCUGCACAUGCAGCAAUUUUUAUGGUAAGAGACUAUGAUCCAACUACUCGAUACAACGAUCUAUUAGAUCGCGUCCUUAGACACCGCGAUGCAAUCAUAUCCCACCUUAACUGGGUAUGUAUAUUUCUAGGUUUUCACAGUUUUGGCUUGUACAUUCAUAAUGAUACCAUGAGUGCUUUAGGCCGUCCACAAGAUAUGUUUUCGGAUACUGCCAUACAAUUACAACCUAUCUUUGCUCAAUGGGUACAAAAUAUCCAUGCUACUGCGCCUGGCGUAACAGCUCCUGGUGCAACAACAAGUACUAGCUUCACGUGGGGAGGCGGCGAGUUAGUAGCAGUAGGUGGCAAAGUGGCUUUGUUACCUAUUCCAUUAGGAACCGCAGAUUUUUGAGUCCAUCACAUUCAUGCAUUUACCAUACAUGUGACUGUAUUAAUACUUUUGAAAGGUGUUUUAUUUGCUCGGAGUUCCCGUUUGAUACCCGAUAAAGCAAAUCUAGGUUUUCGCUUCCUUGCGAUGGGCCUGGCCGAGGGGGAACAUGUCAAGUAUCCGCCUGGCAUCGAACUCUAUUUUCUGUAUGUUAAUGAAAGGUUUAGACUAAAGCGGGGUAGAGGAAUUGGUCAACUCAUCAGGCUCAUGACCUGAAGACUGCAGGUUCGAAUCCUGUCCCCGCCUAAUCACGUCAGAUACUUGUACGAGUCCUGAUCUCCUGGGAUCAGCAGACAGUCUUACUAGCGAUGAGUAAACAAAGUCGCUAGGAAAGCUAUAGAUAGGUAUCAAGGCACAACCGAACUGACAAGUAAGUUUCGAAGACUUCCACCUAUUAAUGUUCUUUUUAUUUUUUUGCUGCUCGUCUCGCCGUAAGUUAUUGACCAGUACCAAAUGUGACAACCUUCAAUUCAAGUUACAAAACCUGGAAUUUGAAACAGAAGUUAGGGUGCUUGAUGUACAAGGUUAUGAUCUUAUUUUAGGCAUUGACUGGUUGUCAAGUUUUGGUCAAAUGACAAUUGACUGGAGUAAAGGAAUGCUGAAACUCAAGCAUAAAGGCAAUCAGGAUCUUACAAGCAGGGAAACUACCUCGCAUUGCGGCCAUCAUAGUAUCCGGUAAGCCUUCUCGAAAGAAAAGGCCCCUAUGAAUACUAGUCCACUUGUCAUUCUUGGGUCCCUACUUCUCAAGAAAAGUCAACUAUCGCUUUCCCUGCUUUCAGGAACUUCCAACUAGUCACUUCAAUCGCUUUUGAUCUCUUCCAUUUCGCUUUGCUUUCCAGUUUCCUUUUACGAUCAUCAUCUCCUUCACUGAAACAUGCUUCAAACCACUCACGUUUUGGAAAAUCGAAUGUACAAUCUAUCUUCUUAUCCCGUAAGGAGCCAAUGGAGUUCGAGGUCAGGUGUUACAGACUUCUAGAACAGAGCACUGAAUACCAAGUCAAGGUGGAUACAGCAGAGAAUGCAGAUAUCUAAAGGCCGAAGCAAGUAGAUAUAGGUUAGGGUCCACUCGAUAUAUAGCACAAGGUGCAGCAAAGGGAAGAGAAUUGCCACUACUUCUUGGGUAUUGCGAUGGACCUUGUUUCAAGUUCUAAGAAGAAGAAUACUAGAUUGACUCUAGAAGAGAGAGAAGGAUAGAUAGUAUAGAUGAUAUAUGCGGCUUGUAUGUAUCAAUUGACGGGUUUAUGUUAGAGGAGAAAAAAGUAUCAAGAAGUUCUUCCACUGCUUCCAGUCGGAUAAAAAGAAAGGAAUAGGGAUCCAUACCUUUUUCUCAUGACCUGAGGGCUUCUUGUUGUUGGUUGCAUUCCACUAGCUUGCUUUCCGUCUUGCCUUUGCUACUUGAGAGAAUGCCUUUGACCGAGCAGCUCUUCCACUCAUUUUAUUAGCAAUCAAACCUCUUCCCUUCAACUCGUACCGAAGGCUAUGUCCCAGUAAGCAUUUCCUCUGUUUCCUUGUUUCCCACCUCUGACCUUCCGCUAUGACAUGACCAGUCCACUAAUAAGUCAGGUAAUCGUCCAACGCUAUGUUAACAAAUACGUGAAAGGUUUGAUUAUUCCAUACACUUGAACGCGUUCCUUAUCAAUAGGUUUCGGAGAGACGAGCAAUGAUUGCUUGACGAUCUUCACUGCAUGAGACUAGACUUGACUCAAGCUUCAUACGAAAGCAUUUACUGAACUAAAGCCGUUGAGCCAAGUCAAGCGAAAGACUUAUUCGAAGAAAGCUUUAAGAGAGUUUGUUGUCCCAUGCCUUUCUGAUGGUGAACCUCCUACUGCUUCUUCCAAUUCUGAAACUGGGAUUGGCCUGUUGACUUUGCCCUUCCUUUAGACAAAGAGCCCCCAGUUUCGCCAAAAGACCUCUGCGUGUUGUCAUUCAACUCCACACAAGCCUGUCGUUGGGCUACUUGCAUCUUCGGCAGAUACAAAGGAGAAGUGACGGUCGGUGAAAUAGCCCUCCAACUCGUAGCUCUUCUUGCUUAACGUGAAAACUCUCCUUUCCGAUGAAAAUGAGAAAGAAAGAUGUCAACUACUAAAUGUGCUGCUUUGUGAAUUUGAUACUAGGUAGUUCUCCCCCCUCGGCAGGCAAGUAGCCUUUGCGACUUACAUCUCUGCUACAGGAGGGUAUGAACCCCCGGAUCUAGGCGAGGUGAUGGCGGGGAACUCCAACAGGUUUUGGUUUCCUCCUCACUGAUUGAUGGAGCCCAAGACUGCUUGACAACUUUCGGUGUGGGGUCAGCUUGAGCCGAGGUCGUCUCGUAACAGGAACAGGAAGAAUAGCAAACAAGCACACAAGCAGGAAUAGGAAUAUUGGCUGUCACUAUCCUCUGGUUAGCAAUCAACUACGGAGCUGGCAACUCACAAGCCAGCAAGUCAACCUCUGUCAGAUCUUCGGCCCAGUUUAUGGACGAAACUGACUCUACUUCCUCAUUCAGGCUGAUAUGAACUGCAAAAGUUUUCAUCUUUAGCGUGGAUAUCGUAGGUAUAAAUGAAAGAAACUGGAAUCAGGAAGUUGUUUCUUUCUCUCGAUACGCAGAGGGGAGAGCCUGCCCUGUCUCAGGCAGUAUAUCAGUCGUUAACGAUCUUACCGGGACACAUCCAAUUGAAACUAGAAUCCCAACCUCUUUGGAAGAAGCUCCAAAUAGAAAAAAAUUCAGAGCGGGGAAUCUUCCUACAAACUAAAAUGUGUUAAAUAUAUAUAUACCUACCUCUGCCUAGAAAAACUGGAGUUUCAGGCACCCUCGUGGGAGACAUUGGAUGUUGUCAACCGGCCUUAAAAUGCUCAUAAACAGCUCUUCCCCCUUUGACUUAGUUUUCGCUCUCCUCUGUUUCUAGUAGAAAAAGCCUGAUCCUACUUUGCGAGUCCAACAGGUCUAGUAUUCUUUUCUUUUUCGUCUGAGGGAACGUGGUAGCCCUGAUCUAGCUAAGACUUGAGAUUCCAUUCUAUUUCAUUCUGAUCUCGUUAUGAGGAAAUAGGUGAGGCGAGGCUAAGACAAGAUAUGGGACUUCCCGCGCUAAGUUGUUCCAAUCUCUGUACUUAAGUAACCGAACUCGAAAGUGCUGCUAUGAGCUAGAUUUGUGCGUACAAGGGUAAAGAAGCGAGCAAGGCUACCUUUCCGCUGGAAAUCCUAUACCUGAGUGCUAUUUGAUCAGAGUGAGUUGUAAUUGAGCUUGAUUUACUUGCUCUUCUAUUUGCAUUUUUUGUUAAGUAUGUGGGUGACUCAUCGUCGUGAGAUCGGUUGGUCGAAAAUUCUUUUCAAGUAGUCUCAGUCGGCGAACUCGGCUCCACAGAAGAAGUCAGUAGUGAAUCAAAGAACUCAUGCAUGUAAUCAGUGACUAGGGAUCGAUCAAUCGGAUGCAACCGAGCCAUACAAAAAGAAUUGGAAAAGGGAUGACGCAAGAGCAGCGGAAGGUGACUUAGCAACAUCAGUCAUUUCCUAUAGAAAGGAAGGAAAGGAUCUCUCUUCUGUCUAGACGAAAGAUCUCAUUUUUGCUACCGCUCUCCCUCUUAUGAGUCUCUGUCAGCCGUUGUUUAGUAGCUUUCAACGCGAGUUCAGUCAUUCUCUUAUAUACUGAAAAGUACGAACUGACUUAAAGCACGAACAUGAAGGAAAGGCUGAAUUCGAAACAUCUUGAAUCGGAUUCUCUCUUCUCAGAGAGCUUGAGAGUGAAAUGAGUGGGCUGGCCAAAGAAGACCACUAUGGAAGUGAAAGGGGAGGGCAAGAGUGGUUCGAAGACCAUAGCCCGAUGUGGGUACAUUGGCGUCAUCGUCGUAUGAAAUUCACGCACAAAGGGCGCCGCAUCACUCUCAAUGGCAUUCAAGAUAAUCCUUCCUGCCGUCCAAUCUCUGUCCGUAAGCUGCAAGGAUUGCUGAAACGGGGUGCUGUUAGCCAGUGUGUGCAAGUGCGUCAGAUUCACCAGGAGCAUGAUCUGCAAGCAAUUACUCUGGAUGCUGAUCCUGCAGAGCAGACACCUCCAGCUGUUCAAGAACUGCUACAGGAGUUUGAUGCUUUGUUCCGGGAGCCAAAGGAAUUACCCCCUCGUCGUGCCUGUGACCACCAAAUUCCGUUGGUGCCAGGUGCAGUGCCAGUCAAUGUCCGGCCAUAUAGAUAUGCACCCCACCAGAAAACAGAGAUCGAGAAGCAAAUCUGUGAGAUGAUGAACAAUGGCAUUAUUCGUCGCAGCACGAGCCCCUUCGCUUCUCCAGUGCUCUUGGUUCGUAAGAAGGAUGGAUCCUGGCGCUUUUGAAAUAUCCUAUGCCAGUCGCGGGUUGUCCCAAGCUCAACGUAGGUUCGCAAGAGAAAAAGAGGGGGGUACCUUGUCUGUCGGUCGAAGAAGGCAACAAACAAGUGGAAGCAACCGAUGCUUUGGUCAUUCUACUCCUUGAUGCCAGUCUGUGCUUGCUGUCAUGCUGGCAAAAGCGGGGGUUUCGGCCGGCUUUACCUACUAUUGGAUUUGAACCAAUGACUCUCGCCGUAUGAAAGCGAUACUCUAACCGCUGAGUCAAGUAGGUCAAGCUGAGUCAAGUCAGAGAAAAUCGAAAAAAAGAGAAAGCCAACCAAAGCGCAACCAGAGUUCUCCGCGGGGUGGAGCGCUAAGAAAGAGAAAGCGUUAUCGCUAUACGAAAUGAAGCAGCGGCUAGCACACUAAGAUAAACCACUUGGUUUAAAAAACUGCUUAGUGGCGUGUGAUUUCAACACUAUUCCAGAGGUAUAUGACAAAAAUGGUGGGAGAGACCUCUAUGUUCCUCAGCUUAAAUCAUUCUAUGAUUGUUUACAAUUCUGUCAUCUAUUUUACAUGAGGGCUAGAGGGUGGUCUUGGAGCAAGAAAAGUGUUGAGUCCAGGCGCAUUAUGGUACGACUGAGACUGAGUUGGGCAGGAGCAAGCGGUUGGAUUGGCCUGACUCUUCAAGACCAAAGAUACUCGGCUUCCUCUUCAUCAAGUCACGAAAUUCGACCCUUAGUUAGCAGCACCAAAACUAGAGCAGGCCCAAGACAAGCAAGAACAGUCAGUCAGCACCGAUCAGGCAGGAAGCAGACAGUAAGCUAAGAAUACUGGAAGAAGGUGGUCGCUCAGCCAAAGCCCUACUUCAACCAGAACAGUAGGGAAAGCGGUAGAGGCCGCUCCGUAGCUUUGGUCGUCGCACUCUAAUCCGCUUUAGAAGAAGCAGCUAUUCUAUUGCUUGGCUAUAAAGCCUAUAAGUAAGAACUCUGGGGAAGGAAUCCGAUCUGCAGAUGAAGCAGAAGCAGGCAAAAGGCGAGCGCACAGCGAGGAAUUUUCCAUACUAGAUCGACUCAACAUUACCGAAUCUACUCUGAGACUCUCUUCUCUUCAUGGUUGGCUGUAAAAAAAGAGUCUCUUUAGUCCCCAACUCUAUGGAUUUUACUUUUUGGCUCAACACCCUGCUCUCGACGUUUGCUCGGGACGGGAGGCUAUGAAAUAGUUGAAAGCAGAUGCAACAUUAAAGAAAGUCAAUCCAGUAGCCUUAAGUCGUACCGAACACUAUGUCCUAAUAGUAAGGGAUUUCUUUCAACCCGGUGGUAAGCCGGUGGUACCCGGAGAAAACGUUGCCCGAAGGAAGGGACUAAACCCAUCUGUUCAAGUAGUAGCCAAGUAGUACCGAAGGAGUAUCUCCGAGUUAAGGAGUACCGAAGGGAAGGAAGAAAAACCAAGUGAAAGAAAGAGAUCGCAAUGGUCUAAGAUAUAGUCAGUGAACAAUAACUCAGAUCUGAUGUCGGAUCGAAACAAAAAUGCAAAAAGACAACACAAACGUAAAAGAUCGAACUCUAAUUUAGUUACUGAGUGAGAUGUUUUGCUACCUACAAAAGGUUGGUUCUUCCCCUACAACCCCUACCCCUCCAAGGCAGUACUCUUCAUCGGCAAAUCCGAAUGUCUCGAUCCGAGUUGAGACCCACCUACAGAAAUUGAUCCAUCAACGGCUUUUUCUAUAGUGGCAGGAAGUCUCCAACUCUUUGAUAUGCGCUAGCUAGGUAAUCCCUUUACUUAAUCUGAUAUGGGAUCUCUUGCUACCAGAAAGGAACUGAACUGGCUUGCCCGGAAAGAAUGGAUUGCGACCCUUGGAGAGCUAAUGGUACUGGACUGAUAGCGCACUGAUUAAACCGACCCCGGACGUACCACUGGGGAACCUGUGGCUGGAGAGAAUCUCUCGCGAUGGAGAAAUGUCAAAUGGGAAGCUCUAUGGAGGCACACAUCGUGUCGUUCGUCAUCGAAAUGGGACUGACUCGCUCGGGAACAGGCACAGGAUUGAGGAACUUUCUGGCGUAACACACCCGUAAUGGGGCAAUCUGACUAGCUGGUCAAAACCCUUUCCGCAGUGUUUAAGUGGUGCUGGAAGGAAUCAAGAGGGGAGGAGGAAAGCUGUACCAGGUGGAAGGAGAAGCCGAAGGUACUGAGCCCAAACAUCUGAAGCCAUACGGAUACUCACAUCUGCAAAAGGCUGAGACUGAGAAUUGAGGAAUUGCUGAAGAAUUCACUGAUACAAUCCUCUACUAGCCCCUUUGCUUCACCUGUGCUGUUAGUGAAGAAGAAGGAUGGGACAUGGAGGAUGUGCAUUGAAACCAGGCAGCUGAAUGCCAGUACAGUAAAGAAGAAAUACCCAAUUCCGGCACAUAGAUGCCCUAUUGGAUGAGUGGUGCUAAAUAUUACAGCAAGAUUGACUUAAGAUCUGGCUAUCAUCAGAUCAGGAUGAGAGAGGAAGACAAGCCCAAAACUUCAUUCAGAACCCUGUAACUAUGAAUUCAAUGUGAUGCGGGCUUACAAAUGCUCCUGCAACGUUUCAAGCACUCAUGAAUGAUGUGUUCAAGCCCAGAAGAUUUGUGUUGGUUUGAUGAUAUACUUCUUGACAGUAAAACACUGAAGGAGCAUCAACAGCACUUGCAGCUAACACUUUUUCUGCGGAAUCAGCUACAUGCUAAGAUGAGCAAGUGUGAGUUUUGACUUUCAAAGGCGGAAUAUUAGGGGUAAAAUGGAAAAUAAGGUGGCAGAUGCAUUUAAUAGGAGAAAGGCCGGAACAUCUGUCCAGCUGGUCCAAGGUGUGCAAACCGCUUUGUGAAGGCCGACUGAGAAUGAGGGACCUAGUAGUGUAUUUCGAAGCCUUCUAGGCAAAGCUGCUUUGGCGUGCACUGAAAGGGCGUCUUCCUUUCCUAUAUUAUACCAGAGGUGAGUGCAUAAUCUGGUGUAGAACGGAGGGGAUAUCCUAAGUUGAUGUGCACAAGUGCUUCCUCUGAUUGAAGUCGAUUGCCUCAACCAAUUUCUUAGUACAUCAACACAAGAAGUGGCCAAUUGGGGAUGGUACUACCUCAGUGAAACUAUGGGAAGAUGGGUAGGUGGGGCCUCUCAACCAAGACAUCGCGAAUCUACAUAGGUCUAGUCCAGGGGACAAAUCAAUAGGAAAUGCUAUUUGCUUCUUAAGAAGAAGAACUUUUUUGAAAUGAAAGAGUUUCCACGGGCGUCGGAUAUCAUUUCUUCAAAUAAGGAAGAAGUGUUAUCGAAGGAUUUCCUUCCAUUCUUCCUAGUAUGGAAGAAGUAAAGAAAAAGUACUGCGUCUCGAUCUAUACGAAAGGGCACUGGUUUUUUCUUUUGGUUUCAUUGAUAGCAGAAGAGUACGCUAGCUAGCGGAGCCUGAAAACGCUUGCUUGCGCCCCACCCCUACGGAAACUAUUGCCUAUGCUUGCUGCUCGCUCAGUGUCAGUAGAAGGGAAGAAAAGAUGGUCACUCCUUUUAGGAACAUGGCGAGCCUUACUUACGACUGUUGCACUUCACUCGCUGCUCGUUCAUUCACUUGCUCAUGAACUCGCUGCUUCGCCAGAAGCGACUAGUCGCCUCCUUUCCUCCGCCGAAAGAUGCUUAGCCAGAAGCGACGAAGGAGGGGAGCUGGGGAAGGCCGACGAUGGCAAUGAGGGGGAAGCUGUCGUAGAAGCUUUGCCCCUUGCUUUACAUAAAUUGUUAUGAACUUACUAAAUGACCUUAUUUAUUCUCCCGGAACGCUAGCAAAUCUAAUAGUUCCAUCUGCUCUUCUUAACUUAAGAACGAAGGCCGCCAUCCUUCUUAUUCAGGAACCCUUUGUUUGAGGAGGGCGUAUCCCCGGGAAGGGGAGAGUGGCCGAGCGGUCAAAAGCGACAGACUGUAAAUCUGUUGAAGGUUUUCUACGUAGGUUCGAAUCCUGCCUCUCCCACUUGUUGUAGACUUAAGAGAAGAGAAAGUAGGCGGAAGCCUAGGAGGGCCAACCGAGCGAAGCUCUUUUUUUUUGCCGUGCCGUGAAGUGCAAUUUUCUCGUAUGCGUUUUAGAGAGGUUGUCGAAAAAAGACGAUCUAUAGAGAUUCCCCAUCUAUAUCCAAUCGAGAAUAGAAGCGAGUCGCUUCCGGCGUCGGCUUGUAGUCUCUGCAGUCGGCACACGCACGCGCCCGCCAUCAUGCCUCCUUGGUUCGGGACGAAGCCAAGCGAGACAUACGAUAGACGAAGGAAGCGCCCACCCAGCAGGAGGGCUAAAACCUGUAGUUUUGAAGUUGCAAACUCCAGCUUCGAAGCUGGAGUGCUUUAGCCCUUUUUAAGCAAGAAUCACCGUCUUGAGCGCCUUGCGCGCUCAAGAACAAGCAAGGGAUGAGCGCUUUGUUGCUAAAGCGGAUACGUUUUCUUGCUGGGGAAGGCUAGUUUGAUCGAGGAUUGGAGAGGAGGGAGAGGUGGAAUAAAAAGCUCGGGAUGGAUUUUGGAGUCUUUGUGCGAGCCGUAUGCGGUGAGAGUCGCACGUACGGUAAGGAGGGGGGUUCGCGUCUAUACGUGUAGUGUGGUGGUUGGGCCUACCCACCCUAUUUGUUCCAUGAUCUAUGGGUCUACUGGAGCUACCCACUUCGAUCAAUUAGCCAAGAUUUUGACCGGAUACGAAAUCACUGGUGCUCGAUCUAGUGGUAUUUUUAUGGGGAUUCUUUUUAUCGCUGUAGGAUUCCUAUUCAAGAUUACUGCAGUUCCUUUUCGGGCGGCUGUAGGACGGACGGCCCCCUAUAGGUAGUAGGGUAGGGUGGGUGGUACCGCUCAGAUAGCGGCCAAUCCUCCUAACUGCGCGCGGGCCGGGCUUAGAGCGCGUGAAACUCAUCACUACCUCGUAAGGGCGUUGAGACCAUAGCAUGUUACACAAAAGCGCCGCUUUCUCAGGAGUGUUGUCACACAGCUGCCCGACUAGAAGAGCUACUCGCUCUGUAGUGUUGUCACACAAGAUAAGCACGCCGCCCGCCUGCUGGCCGGGCGAAUCGAAGUUAUCUUCCGGUCAACUGUCCACCCAGUCAAGUGCCAAAAACACAGUGGAAUCACGCAACGCACGCUGCUGGUGUGCUUCCUGCCCACGAGGAAAGAAGAGCGACAAGGUUCAGAUUUGACUGUUUGCAGCAUGGGAGCUGAUUACCCAAAAAAUCCCUGGGAAAAAAGAAAAGAUAUCUCGGUAACGAAAACCAUAGGAGGCUGUAUUGGCGAGAUCCAAGGGUUCACAGCAGCCCAAAAGAAAAACCGCCUGGAAGUCCGAGGACCUUUAGUACCGUAUCGAACCAGCAGCCUUCGCACCAAGCGACGACCGCCCUUGUCCCUUUCCUUUUUCCAUUCAGCCUACUUCUUAGCUUUGUUCCGUCAGUCUAAGGCAAAGCUUAAGUGGUUUGCCUACCUUACCCACUUGAUGAAAGGGAACGAACUUCGUUUCCUUGGCGGCUUUAUGGAUGGAUUCAGUCAGAAAAAACUCCUUCCUUUUGAAAAAAGUGACGCUUUGCGUCUUCGCUUCCGAGGGUUAGGGUAUAGGCCGUUUCGAGCAAGCUUUCGCUUUUUCUCCCGGCUUUCUACAACUUUCGCUUUAGCUUCCAAAGGCGACCCAAUGACCUUUCCGGAAUUGGAAGUAUUCGUCGCCCUACCCUAAGAAAGAAGUCACUAUAAAACUGCUUGCCCUCCAGAAGUACCAAAGGUGCGCGGAGCCCGGUGAAAAUGAAUAUGUUUGCUACUGAAAGAAGCCUGCCUAUUGACUAAUAUUCGUCUUUAGAAUGAAAGUAGCUAUGAAGCCCAAUCUACUGUCGAUUCAAAAGGGGGCAUAGUCAUAUGGGUGGGGUGUUUGUGGGGAGCUGCCUUGGAUAUGAGGAAUUCCUCCAAUCUAAAAAAAAAGAACAAAGAAAAAGUCCGUGACGAAGAUCUUUCUUUUCUAUCAAUAGAUAGGAAUGAGUGUUCGUUAUAGGGGAUAGGAUCCAUCUGCUCUCUCUCUCUCUAUUUUCUUUGAUGCAAUUUAGAGAGAAAGAGCAGUGCGAAUUAGAAAAAAAAGAGAAUCGGGAGAUGAUUCCAAAAUAGAUACAUAGACAUCUAAAGUAAAGGGAUGUAUAUAUUAUUCCUAUAUAUAUCAUCUAUCUAUGAAAAAAGUAAACAGAGUUCGUUUUUGG
rnacentral:lncRNA from 1 species